UUUUUUUUACAUUUUGUAGCGUGGCACGGCAUCCGGUGCACCUAAGCAUCUGGAAAAAAAUUGAGUUUGGGUCGGUGGCACACCCUGCGGCAAGAUGCCCGUGUGGGCUUCUUCUAUAACUAACAAGAUGCCCGUGCAUUGCAGGGAACAUCAAGAUGCAUUUUUUUACAGAACACCUGUUGUGAUUGACCCUUGCAGGAAUAAUCCCAUGUGUAAAAACUAAUGAUAUCUCGAUAAUUUUAUCGGAAAAAUGGUAUCUUUGGAACAAGUUUUCUCUACUACUGCUCCUUGCACUGAGCGGUAUGCAAUGCAUGUGUCAGCAGACAUGAUAGCUUGUCCAUGGAAGUUGAACCACGGCGACCAUCACGUUUCUUGUUUCUACCACUGCCACACCCACACGCGAUUCCCACGACGCCGCUCCAACCCACGGCACGACGUCCCCCGAUGUGCGCCUCAUCCCUCUCGGCCCCACCGCUCCUUUGCCUUUGUGUGCAUGACAUGCGGGCCAGCUGAACUGCGGUGACCAUCAACUUUCUACCACAGCCACACCCGAUUGGACGCGGUUUGCCUGGUCCGAUCCGUACUCCCGCACCAUCGAAUUUUCAUCCAGCGGUUGUGACACAUUUCGUCCCGGGCAUCAAUCCUCGGCUGGAGUACUAGUACCCGCCGGUGUGGCCAUCUACGCCUCGUAACGCCUCGACGCCCAACUGUGGCACCCUCGCCACGGCCACGCCACCACCGGCCGGUUCAUCUCGAACGAGUGAGUCGUGAACCACGCCGCCACCAUGAGAAUGACAUGUGGGCUAGCCGCAUUUAAGGUCCGCAUGUCAUUGACUCAUAGGCCAGUGCACUAAGCCACUGAAGCUCGGUCCCGUGGGCCCCGAGAGGGAAAUGUAACUCCUGCGGUAGGCCUUGUGGUGCUCCCGCAGUACGAGCUCGUGCCAAACCCGGAUGAGAUUUGGUAACCAACUAGUAAGCUACAUGUGCAUUGCACGCACGAGAUUUGGUAACCAAAUCUCUACUUUCUAUAUCUAUAUCUAUACUCUUAUAAAAAAUAGAGUUGGUGAUGAUGGUGUGCCUGCCAUCCUGCAAUAUAGGCCAUCCGAUUUAUAUCUUACCUAUAGGAAGGAAACUAUGGCAAUUUUGCAAAAAGAUACCCACACCCCUCUCCACAUUUGCAAAUAAGGCCUUCUCUUGUUCAUCCUUUUCUCCCACAACAUAAACUACUCAUACAAAUGCAUCUUGAUUUUCCGUGCAACGCAUGGGCAUCUUGCUAGUUAUGAAUAAAUAACACUCUAUCAAUGAGCCCCAUCAGACACCAAAUUUCUUGCCUUCCGUGCUACAGGUAGAUCUUCCCCUCAUUUCUGUUUUCCAACCUGGCGGCGGGCGGGGUGCGGUUUGCCAAUAGUCAGUUUGCUCAACGGCGGUCCCACAUGAAAGUGAAAAUGCUAGGCAACACGCCUUCCCUAGCUAUGUGGUGUGUCGGACGGGCAGUGGAGUACUCCCGAUUCCCGAGCAUGUGGGGGUGCGCCGCAAAUGAGGCAGGCCUUUUCCUUUUACUGGCAAUGUGCCCGUGCGUUGCGACGGAUCCAAAGUAGUAUAAUAGUAGUACUUGUUCACAAACUUGAAAUAAAUCACUCUUGUUCUGAUAUACUCCUAAUAUAUUACUUUUCACUCAAAAUAUAUUUCUUAGGCUGUUAUGAUGAGGUGAGGGAGGGAUGUCGUUGCUUUCAAGAUAAUAAGGGGUUUUCUGCAAAUUGGAGCAGAGAAGUGGGCUAUUGUUGCAAAAAUGCCACAACUUACCUCACAGCCAUUAGAUGCAGAUCUAAUGGUCAGAAACGACGAAUAGCAGACACACCACCAUCACCAACUGAGUCUUUUAUAGGAGUAGGAGUAGAGAAAAUGUAUAAAUUGUAACAUUUGGUUCUGCUCCUUGGCACGGUCGAUAGAUAGAAAUAACGGUUGGAAACGCUAGGGUGGGGCUAUUUCCGCCAGAUAAGCAGGGUACGUAGUAGCUAGGUUGGCGCAUCAUCGGUUUGGUCACAUGCGGUCCGACAUGUUCUAGUGUUUCUAGCAAGAUGCCCGUGCGUUGCACGAAGUUGAUGGAAAAGGUAAGCGCAACUUAUAAAUUGACGGAUGGAGUACUAGUUAUAGUGAUGCAUAUAAUUAAGCAAAGGGAUUGCACAUGUCAGUAUUGACCAGAACGAGAAUGCAAUAGCACAAUAAGAAUUAAGGCCGCGAUGAUGCGAUCGCAGUGGUGGUUACAGGAGGCAAGAAGAAAGAUGCAUCCAUCAAUGUACGACCUCCUCCUCCUCAACUUAGUGCGCCAGGCCACCGACCGGUGGCUAAGGAGCGGCGGAUUUUGUGGCGAGGUCAAGGUGCUUCUCAGCAAAGGCUUCCAAGGCUUCCAGCCGGUUGAGGAAGGCCAACGUCGUAGCAUCCUCAAUGGCCUUGUAGAUACCUAUGUACACGAUUUGCUCGUACAUGUGGAUGUGUAGGUCGACGAAUUCUUGCAGGGUGAGGCGCCUCACGGCGAGUGAGGGAGUCCUGGAUUAGGGGGUCCUCGGACAGCCGGACUAUAUACUUUUGCCGGACUGUUGGACUAUGAAGAUACAAGAUUGAAGACUUCGUCCCGUGUCCGGAUGGGACUCUCCUUUGCAUGGAAGGCAAGCUUGGCAAUUCGGAUAUGUAGAUCUCCUCCCUUGUAACCGACUCUGUGUAACCCUAACCCCCUCCAGUGUCUAUAUAAACCGGAGGGUUUAGUCCGUAGGACAAGAACAAUCAUAAUCAUAGGCUAGCUUCUAGUGUUUAGCCUCUACGAUCUCGUGUUAGAUCAACUCUUGUAAUACUCAUAUCAUCAAGAUCAAUCAAGCAGGAAGUAGGGUAUUACCUCCAUCGAGAGGGCCUGAACCUGGGUAAACAUUGUGUCCCCCGCCUCCUGUUACCAUCCGCUUUAGAUGCACAGUUCGGGACCCCAUACCCGAGAUCCGCCGGUUUAGACACCGACAGCGAGCGCGACCUCCAGGUGGACAUUCUUCGUGGCGUCGGCGGGCAGUCACAUGGCCACCAGUGCUUGAAAGAGGUUCCGGCCAUGGAGGCCGAUUAGGGUGGCAUGCAAUGAGGAGCCCGGGUGUCGGUGUCAAAACCGGCGGAUCUCGGGUAGGGGGUCCCGAACUGUGCGUCUAAGGCUAAUGGUAACAGGAGGCGGGGGACACAAUGUUUACCCAGGUUCAGGCCCUCUCGAUGGAGGUAAUACCCUACUUCCUGCUUGAUUGAUCUUGAUGAUAUGAGUAUUACAAGAGUUGAUCUACCACGAGAUCGUAGAGGCUAAACCCUAGAAGCUAGCCUAUGAUUAUGAUUGUGAUUGUUAUUAUUGUCCUACGGACUAAACCCUCCGGUUUAUAUAGACACCGGAGGGGGCUAGGGUUACACGGAGUCGGUUAUAGAGAAGGAGAUCUACAUAUUCGAAUCGCCAAGCUUGCCUUCCACGCAAAGGAGAGUCCCACCCGGACACGGGAUGAAGUCUUCAAUCUUGUAUCUUCAUAGUCCAACAGUCCGGCCAAAGUAUAUAGUCCGGCUGUCUGAGGACCCCCUAAUCCAGGACUCCCUCAGUAGCCCCUGAACUAGGCUACAAUGACGAUGAGUCCGGCGCGCAGAUUGUCUUCGGCAUUGCAAGGCGGGUUCUUCUCCAAAUCCCGAGUACCUGUCGUAACGAGUAGUGUCCGCCUUCCCAUGAAUGUUGCACUCCUCGGCUUCUGUGCAUUAAUAAUGGCUAUCUCCACGUGUCGAGCGAAUGCGAGAAGUCGGGGCAUUUUUACAUUUACCACCCUAACCAUGUAAGUAAACCGUCUAUUUAAAGAGACGGGGAUCCUCAGAUCCAGAUCACACCAUCCUCCCAUAGCGAGUAUCCCCCAGAGCGCGCCCGGAAAGGACCAUCCCAUCAUGGCCGGCCAUCGCAGCUCCUCCUCUCGCCCCCAUAGCGCUAAGCCAGGCAACUGGGAGAAAUGUUCCAUCCCCCAUAGCCAAUUAGUAGAGUUGCAGACCUAGGGGUUUCUCCCUCCUGCGUAUAUGGUCCCCGUCCGAGCUAGACUAGCCACUUAUAAUGGCGGGGCGCAAGCGGAGAGCUUUCCCAACCCAUCCAGGGGGGAGCGGGUAUGCCUUGUCCCUUACUUAUUGAGGGGACUCGGAUUUCCAAUCCAUCCGUUCCUCCGCGGGCUCCUGGAGUUCUAUGGCCUCCAGCUGCAUAACUUUACUCCCGCCUCCAUAUUACACAUCGUCGGCUACGUCGCCUUUUGCAAGCUGUUUCUGGGCUGCAAAGCUCAUUUCGAGCUAUGGAAGAGGCUAUUCUGCCUCGUACCCCGUACACAGGAGGGGUCAAUAUAUCAAGUGGGCGGAGCCGAAAUAUGGCGCAUCACCGGGACCGGAUACCUGUCCGGUACUCCGAAGAAGAUGUCCGAAGACUGGCCUUCGGAGUGGUUUUAUAUGGAGGACGUCCCCCUUCCAGACCCUAUUCGGAUGGGCCUUCCUGAGUUUGAUAAUGCCCCUUUGAAGAAACGCCACAGCUGGCGCCCUCGGAGCCCCCACGAGGAAGAUAACAGAGAGGUCCUUUACCUGAUGGGCAGGAUAAAAAUGUUGGCCAAGUCAGGACUGACAAUAGUCGAGGUUAUGUCAAUAUGUAUAAUGCGGGGGGUGCAGCCACUUCAAUAUCGGGGGAAACCCAUGUGGCACUUCAAUGGAGAAGACGAUGCCACCCGCUGCGGCCGUAAAGGUCCGGACUCCGCCGCUGCUUUAGCGAAAAUACUGUCUGAUUUGUACAAAGGAGAGGAAGAGGAGUUCAUCCGCAUUAAGGCAUGGGAUGGAUUCUCCAUGUACAACCCCCCAAACUGGGUGAGCUGCUACCUUUUACUCCAGACCUUCCCGCAUUCUUCAUCAUAAAUAUUUACCUUGCUAUUUCAUAGCAGGAACUGUGAAAAGCUGUGAGGGAGGUCCACAGCCCAUCUCCACAACCAGAGGACACUGACCAGGCCCUCGACCCCGGACUAGAAGAAGAUCCGGACAUAUUCGUGGAGCUCGUCGACGGGACGUUCUAUCAGUUAAGUUGCGAUGGUGCCUUGGUGGCCAUCAGAGCCGAUUAUCCUGGCUGCUCCCUGCAUCGCAUGUAAGAAAAACCGGAGUCCCAACUUCCGAGAAGGAUCCCUUCUUUGCACUUUACCCACCGCACACGUAUUGCGUCUUACAGGGAAGGCCCUCGGGGCGCCAUGCUGAACCCGCGGUGACUCAUCAACAAGGGGCACCAAAGCCGGGCAGGCUUAAAAGGAAGGUGGUCAGGACUGAGACGCCGUCGCAGAGGUAUGAAAAAACCCUGCUUCGUGGUUGUCGUCUAAAAAUGUAAUAACGUCGAUGGUUCUUGGCAGAAAAAACGCUCGCCGGACUAUGCCCGGAGAGCCUGCCGGCCACGCCUCCACCAGCCAGACUCUAGAACCGGACUUAGGGGUAGAUGCUAACGUGGGGAAAACACCGGAUAUUCCUCCUACAGGAUGCGGAUAGGCUGUCCGCUACGAAUUCCAAAGUGGAGAGCGCCAUGAAUCACAGGCGUCGCCGGGCCGUACUCCACGACCCUAGUUUCUCCGAAGAGGCGUUUGACGCCUUCAACUCAGGAGACGUGUACAUCCGAGUUGCUCAAAAUGGCCUAGCCAGAGCGACGGACCAGUAUGUAAAGGAUAUACGGGUAAGAAAAUCUGAUAAUUAUUUAUACCAGUAGCCCCUGAGACUUGAAACAGUUGGCACAACUGAUUUAAGGAUCAUUAUAUGCAUAGGUUCUUAUGGACAAGAAUACCCAGUUGUCUCAAGAGCUGGAGAAAUGCAAAGCCCAGCUACGGGCCGCAGUUGCCGGAAUGGAGGAGUCCAAGAAGGCCCCAUCUGGUAAUACUUGUCUUGAUCGAAAAGAAUGAAAUGACAGGUACCAGUUAGUAUUCGGCAUGCAUGCAAAUCUAACAAUAGAUUCUGCAGAUAAUCCCGGAGCGAAUCCGAAGAUCGUGCGAGGGGAUGAGCAACAUGCUCAACGACAGCUAGAGGCUGGCGAGCGCGUGCUUACGCAGGUUAGGUGGGAGAAAAACGAUCUCCAAGAUGCCAAUACCCGGCUGAGCGUUGAACUGAAAGUUGUUCGGGCCCAGCUUGUUGACUCCGUAAAGGAGAAUAAGAGGCUUCGACGUGGCAUCUUUAGUAAGUGCUUGAACAAACUUUUAUAGAGUUCAGCGAAGAAACCAGCUAACAGAGUUAUAUCUGUAGGUAUGCUGACGGGUCGUCCCGAAGAGGAGAUGCCCGGAUCCGCGGGCGAUCUUCUGCAAGAGCUCUCACAACUGCACGAACAAGUUCGGUAGGUGAUGCAGGGCAUUGCCCAGGCCUUAUGGCCAUCCGCCUCCCUGCCAGGAGGCAUGGGGGAGCUCGUAGAGAUGCUCAAGGGAGCGCCGCGGCGCUUCCGAUUAUGGAAGAUAUCGGCCUGCCUACAAGGUGCAAGGGAAGCCCGGGCCAUGGUGAAGACGCGAUAUACCAAGGCUGACCCGAAUCACAUGGCCGAGGUCGGACCUGUAGGGUAUGAUGGGAAAGAGAUCCCCGUUAGUCUGGUAUAUGACCAGGUAAAAUUAGCCGCAAAGUAUUCCCAACAGGAUUGUAGGCUAGAUAGCCUGUUGGAUGGUAUAGAAGAAGAAUUUAGUUAGUCGAAGUGACUGUGUACUUCAAAGGACAUAUGUUGUCCCUAGCCAGAUUAUAAAUCAUUUGUCAUGGCGGACCUUUUCGCUUUGACCUCCGGACCCGACAGUCCGGAGUGUAUCUGAAUACCCGCUCAGUUGUGUAAAAACCGGGGUACGCGUGGAAACCAGGCAUAGGGGUCAUAAGUGCUUGAACAGACAAGUACCCAACUAGCUAUGUUAUAUUACAUGGAUAGUAAGAAACAUCUUCCAGGGAGAAUAGUUCCGUUAAGGGUUCCUUUCCUGGGUACGCAUGCAUUAAUGUGCAUGUCCGAACAGUGAAAAGAGACGCAGGAUAUAAACAUCUGGGGGCAUGUAUUGCAAUAAAUAAAAGUCAUCUUUUGUUCACCGACCGAAUAUUCCCUUAAGAACGCUAGCUUUCGGCUUCACCCAGUCUGAGGUACACAUUCGGCUGACCCGGUAGUAACAAUCGCAGAGGUGCUCCCCUUAUGCCCUAGCCGAAUUAACGGGAACGUAGGGCAUAUACACAAGUGCCAGGCAACCCAGCUUGGCCAACACUUAAGUCAUAUCGAUGCAUAUAAUGGCAAAGAAAAGGUACAUGUGGAAGAGUAACACAUGUGCAGGGGGCAUAAAGCCCGGAAUAUAAUUAUAUUAAGCUUCUGUAUAAGAAGCCUCCAGGUAUAAUGAGCACGCCCGGCGCGUCAAGGUUGUGUAGUCAAGACCCAUUUUAAGCUUUUAAGGCCAUGAAGAAAAAGGGAAGAGAAAAAAAGAAAGACAGAUAGAUGAUAUAUAUAAAAAAGGUGGAGGUAAGGAGAUGAACACAGAGUCCGGCACUAGGCGUAUAACCUUCAGAGUCUGGUCGCGUUCCAUGGGUUUGGCUCGAGUCGAUUGUCAGAUGCAUCACGCAGACGGUACGCUCCACCGGUUAGAACUUUAUCGAUGAUGAAGGGACCUUCCCAUUUGGGCUUGAGCUUGUCCUUUUUCUUCUCUGGUAGGCGUAGAACGAGUUCGCCACCGUUAUAAGUUUUGGCUCGUACUUCUCUGCUUUGAUUGAUGUCACAGGGUAGUACCGCCUCUGUGCCGUACACCAUAAAAAACGGUGUGUAUCCGGUAGUGCAAUCCGGCGUGGUCCGCAGCCCCGUAGUACGGAGUCGAGCUCCUCAACCCAAUGUGUAUCUGAUUCCUUCAAGGAUCGCACUAAUCUGGGUUUAAUGCCGCUCAUAAUAAGACCAUUUGCUCGUUCGACUUGACCGUUUGUUUGGGGGUGAUAGACGGAGGCAUAAUCAAGCUUAAUGCCCAUGUUGCCGCACCAAGUUUUUACCUCGUCAGCUGUGAAGUUCGAGCCGUUAUCGGUGAUGAUGCUGUGGGGGACACCAUAACGGUGUACAACCCCGGAUAUGAAGUCUAUCACUGGUCCGGACUCGGCCGUAGUAACUGGUUUGGCUUCUAUCCAUUUGUGAAUUUAUCCACCAUGACCAAUAGGUAUUUUUUCUUAUGGCUUCCUCCUUUAAGGGGUCCGACCAUAUCAAGCCCCCAGACCGCAAAGGGCCAAGUAAUGGGGAUUGUUUGGAGAGCGGUAGGUGGCAUAUGGCUUUGGUUUGCAAAAAGCUGGCAACCGACGCAAUGUUGGACGAGGUCCUGUGCGUCUGCUCGGGCUAUCGGCCAGUAGAAACCUAUACGGAAGGCCUUGCUUACAAGGGCCCGAGCUGCAGCGUGAUGGCCGCCAAGUCCAGCAUGAAUUUCUGCCAAGAGUUGUCGUCCUUCCUCUUCGGAGAUGCACCUUUGAAGUACUCUGGUAGCGCUUUUCUUAUAAAGCUCUCCCUCGUGGACCUUGUAGGCUUUAGACCGCCGCACAAUGCAACGUGCCUCGUUUGGGUCCUCAGGGAGUUCUUGCCUAUUUAGGUAAGCCAAGAAGGGUUCUGUCCACGGGGCGAUGACAGCCAUAAUCACGUGGGCCGAAGGUGUUAUUUCGGCGGCGGAGCCUCCGAUUACGUCAGAGUGUUCGGGCUCUGGUGUUAUGGCCAGAUCCGGACUGUUGUUGCCGGUCUCCCCACACCACGGAUGGCUUGAACAACCUUUCCAAGAAGAUAUUAGGUGGGACAGGGUCGCGCUUAGCACCGAUGCGAGCGAGGAUAUCCGCCGCUUGAUUGUUUUCUCGGACCACAUGGUGGAAUUCGAGCACCUCGAACCGAGCUGACAUUUUGAGGACGGCAGUGCGGUAAGCCGCCAUUUUUGGGUCCUUGGCGUCGAAGUCUCCAUUUAUUUGAGAUAUUGCAAGGUUCCAAUCCCCACGCACCUCUAGGCGUUGAAUGCCCAUGGAGACUGCCAUCCGGAGACCAUGCAACAGGGCCUCAUAUUCUGCUGCAUUGUUGAAGUCUGUGUAUAAUAUUUGGAGUACGUAUUGCACUGUGUCUCCGGUGGGGGAUGUCAGGACGACGCCUGCCCCCAGACCAGCCAGCAUCUUAAGAGCCGUCGAAGUGCAUGAUCCAAUUGUAGUACGCGCCGUACUCUUUAGGGAGUUCGGCUUCUAUCCAUUCGGCGACGAAAUCAGCCAGUACUUGUGACUUAAUGGCUCGCCGUGGUUUGUAUGUUAUGUCGAACGGGAGGAGCUCAAUAGCCCAUUUAGCGAUCCGGCCCGUGGCAUCGCGGUUAUUUAUUAUGUCGUUGAGUGGUACUUCGGAGGCCACCGUGAUUGAACACUCUUGAAAGUAGUGUCGUAGUUUCCGGGAUGCCAUGAAGACCGCGUAUGCUAUCUUUUGAUAAUGUGGGUACCGUGAUUUGCAUGGGGUGAGGAUAGUGGAUACGUAGUACACCGGCUUUUGAAGCGGGAACUUAUGUUCGUCCGUCUCUCGUUCGACGACGAGCACUGCGCUUACAACCUGGUGAGUUGCCGCUAUAUAUAACAGCAUUGGUUCGCCGAUAUUUGGUGCAGCCAAGAUUGGGUUGCUGGCCAAGAGGGAUUUUAUUUCUUCCAAUCCGGUCGUGGCCGCAUCCGUCCACUCGAAGUGUUCGGUGCGUCGAAGGAGGCGAUAAAGAGGUAGUGCCUUUUCUCCCAAUCGGGAGAUAAAGCGGCUUAAGGCAGCCACGCAUCCAGUUAAUUUCUGGAUUUGCUUGAGGUUUGCUGAGAUAGCCAACUGUGACAGAGCUCGGAUUUUAGCCAGAUUUGCUUCAAUUCCUCUAAACGAAGAAGCUCAAGAGCUUUCCGAUGGGCACGCCGAAAACGCAUUUUCCGGAUUGAGCUUGAUGUCAUAUGUUCGGAGAUUGUCGAACGUAAGCCUCAAGUCGUCUAUUAAAGAUUUGACGUGUCUGGUUUUGAUGACCACAUCGUCUACGUAUGCCUCCACUGUUUUGCCGAUUUGUGUUUCCAGGCAUGUCUGAAUCAUGCCUUGAUAGGUUGCACCGGCGUUUUUGAGCCCGAAAGGCAUGGUGUUAAAACAGAAGGGGCCGUAUGGGGUGAUGAAUGCCGUUGCGGCUUGAUCGGACUCUGCCAUCUUGAUUUGAUGGUAUCCGGAGUAUGCGUCGAGGAAACACAAUGAGUCGUGUCCUGCGGUAGCGUCGAUGAUUUGAUCGAUGCGGGGGAGGGGAAAGGGAUCCUUGGGGCAAGCCUUGUUAAGGUCCUUGAAAUCGACACAUAGGCGCCAGGAUUUGUCCUUCUUUGGUACCAUUACCAGGUUUGCUAGCCAGUCCGGAUGUUUUAUUUCUCUAAUGAAUCCGGCCUCGAGUAACUUGGCUAGCUCCUCUCCCAUGGCUUGUCGCUUAGGCUCUGAGAAACGCCGAAGAGUCUGCUUGACCGGCUUGUAUCCCUUUAGAAUGUUUAGGCUAUGCUCGGCCAGCCUGCGUGGGAUUCCUGGCAUGUUUGAAGGAUGCCAGGUGAAGAUGUCCCAAUUCUCGCGCAAGAACUCUCGCAGUGCGUCGUCUGUUGUGGGGUUCAGCUGUGCUCUGAUGGAUGCUGUCUUUGUAGGGUCCAUUGGGUCGACCUGGAAUUUGACUAUUUCGUCCGCUGGUUUAAAAGAGGUGGAUUUGGGUCUUUUGUCGAGUAUCACGUUGUCCCUGUCCACUGUGGAGCGCAGCGCAGUUAGUUCUUCGACCGCGAGGGCUUCGGAUAACGCCUCGAGGGCUAGUGCGGCGGUUUUAUUUUUGGCGCGGAGUGCUAUGUCCGGAUCACUAACUAGAGUGAUGAUUUCGUUGGGCCCGGGCAUCUUGAGCUUCAUGUACCCGUAACGGGGUAUAGCUUGGAAGAUCGUGAAUGCCUCCCGCCCUAAAAGGGCGUGGUAUCCGCUAUUGAACAGGGCCACUUGGAAUGUGAUUUCUUCGGACCUAUAAUUCUCCGGCGUGCCGAAUACCACAUCUAGUGUGAUUUUUCCCGCACAUCGUGCCUCCUGACUAGGGAUGAUUCCUCUGAAGGUCGUGCUGCUUUUCUCAAUGCGGCUCUUGUCUAUUUCCAUUUUGUUAAGAGUCUCCUCGUAGAUGAGGUUUAAUCGGUUGCCACCGUCCAUGAGCACUUUAGUAAGCCGGAAGCCGUCCACAAUUGGACUAAGGACCAGAGCGGCUGGUGCUCGGGCUGCUCGGAAUUGAGGUUCGUCACUGGCAUUGAAGGUUAUGGCCGUAUCGUUCCAUGGAUUUAUUGCUGCAAUGUGGCAGACUUCGGCGAGGCUGCGGAGUGCUCGCUUGCGCCUAUUAUUUGAGGUGAAAGUCUCGAAGACUGUCAAUACUGUAUUGUUAUUUUCCACGGGAUGGUGCUCUGUGGUAUUGUUGAUGAGGAGAUCCUCGCCGCUCUUGGCCACCUGCUGGAGUAUCCAACAUGCUCUAAGGCUGUGUGUUGGCAUGGUAUCCGGUGUACUGUGAAUUUUGCAUGGCCCAUUGAGCCAUCCCUCCAAUACGGUUCCACGCCCUGUAGUGGGCUUUGGUUUCUUUGUAAUUGGAUCAGGUGACUUACGAGAGUACACCCUUUUAGCUCGGACGGGGGGUUUAGUGAGAGCCGGAGGAUCCCAGAAUUUUGUUUGGGUUUUCCACGCGCUUUCCAUCACACAGUACUUCUGUACUAUGGCCACCAAGUCAAUGAAGUGUGCUAUGUCACGGCGACUUAUGGCGUUGAGGAUUCCCUUGUCCAUGCAAUUUUUGCAAAAGAAUGAAAUUGCGUCUUCCUCGCGACAGUCCUUGACCUUGCUCAUUACAAGGAGGAAUCUGGCCCAAUAGUGAUGUACUGUCUCUUGCGGCUCUUGUCUAAUGUGGGAAAGAUCACUUAUGUCUGGGUGGGUGGGUAGAUUUAGGUCCAAACCCUGACCCGGUCUGAGACCUAGGGGCAGAGGAGUUUCCGAGCUUGGCAGUUCGGGCUACGGGAUGCUGCCCAAUUUUUCUGGCCCGCUGUCCGAUUCUAGGUUCGAAGCUUGGGCCAUGUCCUCCCGUAGACGGGUAUCCGGCUCGGAGAGCUCGGGAAUCCGGACAUAGUUUGUCCUCAAAAUAGAGGAAGAAUCGCUGCAUUGCUCCUCCACCACCGCUAUCUGAUGGGUGACAGGCGGAAAGUUAAUCUCCCUUUGGUUGGGUUUAAGCCCGAUCCGAUCAUAGUCUGUAGCGACUCCCAGGGAGGCGAUGCGAUCCAAGAGCUCGUUGAAGGAAGAGAGCUCCAUUGGAUCCAUCUGCUCGGGGAAUCCCGAGCCGACGUGGAGGUUGUUUUUGAUGACCCGAGAAGUCAUCGUCGGUGCGUCGGCCGAACGGGUGGUCAUGACGAAGCCGCCUAGUCGGAGAGUUUGGCCUACAGCCAGGGCUCCCCCAGAGGUAAUGUUGUCCUUGACAACAAGACGAGCCAUUAAGCCUUACCGUGACGACACAGUGGAACUCUCAAUGAAAGCACCAAUGUCGGUGUCAAAACCGGCGGAUCUCGGGUAGGGGGUCCCGAACUGUGCGUCUAAGGCUAAUGGUAACAGGAGGCGGGGGACACAAUGUUUACCCAGGUUCGGGCCCUCUCGAUGGAGGUAAUACCCUACUUCCUGCUUGAUUGAUCUUGAUGAUAUGAGUAUUACAAGAGUUGAUGUACCAUGAGAUCGUAGAGGCUAAACCCUAGAAGCUAGCCUAUGAUUAUGAUUGUGAUUGUUAUUGUUAUCCUACGAACUAAACCCUCCGGUUUAUAUAGACACCGGAGGGGGCUAGGGUUACACAGAGUCGGUUACAGAGAAGGAGAUCUACAUAUCCGAAUCACCAAGCUUGCCUUCCACGCAAAGGAGAGUCCCACCCGGACACGGGACGAAGUCUUCAAUCUUGUAUCUUCAUAAUCCAACAGUCCGGCCAAGGUAUAUAGUCCGGCUGUCCGAGGACCCCCUAAUCCAGGACUCCCUCACCGGGCGCGUGGGCUGGAGGAGUACGGCGAUGUCGUCCCCGAGCUUCUUGAGGACGGUGAACUUGUUGGUGGUGGCAACGAUCAUCUGGUCCAACUGAGAGUCGUAGUUGGCGUCGACGGCAGCCAUCCACCAGCCGGUCGCGAACACUGUCUGGAGAUGAUCCUCGGCGCCAUGCCGCAGGCCAGCGUCGUGGACCAUCUGGCACAGCCGCUUGCAGCUCGUGCGCAUCGCCGCCAUGGGUCUGGAGUGAUCACUUUUGCACUUAGUGUAGGUGCUUAGGCAAAUGCUUAGGUGCGUACGAUGUGGUAGAUGCAUUGGAAUGGAGGGGUGCCUUUAUAUGAGUGCAAACUGUGUUGCAUUCACAUCAUGCAGCCUCUUUUCCUGGUCGUCCUCCCAUUACUUCCCUCAUGCAUGCACGAUGCUAAUUGAAGGAGGAUGCAUCAUUGGCCGUUCAACAUUUCGGGAACCGCUACCCCUCCCUCGUGUGCAUUAAAGCCGUAUCGGGAACUGCGACGCCCGCUGUCAAAUCGAAUAGUACUGCGCCGUCCGCUGCACGCCUGGCUGAACACACCUCCUCGCCUCCAUCAAACCCCUCUGUUAAACCCGCAUGCAAAAUGAGAAACCUACUCCGGCCACACGUCCGUUCAUGAGCGGGCCGGAAUUAAACGCAACACCGGCCGAGCUCCUCCCGUCCGCCCUCAGUUUAAACAAGGACAGACGCCGGCCAAGCUCCUACCAUCCGCCCUCUAUUUAAACAAGGUCAGACAGACAGCGGGCAAGAAUCACACCCCUCUGCCGCUCCCCCAUCUCCUCCUUCACCAUUUUCUCCACUCUUCUGAUGGCUUCCGAGGAGCCGUUCUCCGGCAUACUACCCGGCUGGGUGGCCCGCCGAGCCCUCCAGAGACGGGCGAGGCCGCUCGGUGCUUCAUCAACCUCGCUUGGCCCGACGGAGCCAGUUGCCGCCCCAAUUCGGUGGUUCGGCAACUCGCUGCUCCAGUUCAGCUCAAUGAGGAGUGGUGAGUUGCUCCACGCCGGCACGGCGGCGAGCACGCCGGUACGGGCAUCGUCGUUGCCGCGUCGUACCGCACCACCAGUGUCUGCGGUGGCCGCGCCUUCCGUGUCUGUGGGCGCGCCUCCCGUGCCUACGGCAACGCCAUGCAGGCAGAGACAGACGUCGGGUGCGUGGAGAGCGACGAGUCGGUGGCCAGCUUCUCCGUGUCCGUCGCCAUCAUCGAGGAGAAGUAGAACACGGGAGGCCGCCGCCACUUGUGUCCCAUGAAUGCCACCGCUGAGGCGACGACUGCGCAUUCAGGUGGUUUCUUUGCUGCUUUGUCUCUUCCGAGGACCUUCGUCGACCCCGCAAGUGUCUGCCGGACAUGAGGAAGACAAUGGGAUCCGUGGGCGGCCAUUUAGAUUAGGUACUCCCUCUCCGGCUGGCGGGAAAUAUUUGUUCUAAGAAUGGAUAAAUUGGAUGUAUCUAUAACUAAAAUAAGUCUAGAUACAUCCAUUUCUAGGACAAGUAUUUCCGGAUGGAGGGAGUAUUAAUUAUACCAAGAGAGCCGAAUUAGCACGGCUUAGUUCAUGUAAAUGUAAUGAAAUCCAUCAUGUUUAUAUGAAGAUCCAGCUUUUUUAUACGAAAUCCUGCAUGCUUAUAUGAAAACAGUUCAUGUUUGCAUGAAUUUCAUCUGUUUGGUUAUAGUUGUGAAAAUUUAUGCCGCUGGCGUUUGAUGUCGUCCUCCGCGGAAGGAAGCGGGAGGAAAUUUGCCGGGUGCCAUUGGAGAUGCUCUUAUGCUGGAAAUAAUAGAGUCACAUCCAAUCCAUUUGAGUUAAUUGCGUGUAUGAUUCUCCCUCUAUAAAAAGUUAAUUGCAUGUAAAGUGUACACGUGACUUGCAGGGUGGCUACAGCUUCGUACAGAAAGUUAAAAAGGAACAAGUUCAUCCUUAAUCUUGUAUUCUAAGUACUCUAUGGGUUCCACUGUCAGUAUAGUAGCGAAAGAAGUAUAUAUUAAAUAAGUAAUAUAUAAUAUAAAAAUCUAAAGUUAAAGACAAAAUUCAAACUCAGGCCAUCGCGUUGCGAGCAUCCGGCACUAACCAGUCCAGCACAGUUUUGUUGUAGACCAUGCUGGAGAUAUAUCUCCAUGUCUACUCUUAUACUCCAUCCAUUCCUGAAUAUUUGUCUUUUUCAGAUUUCAAAUGGACUACCACAUACGGAUGUGUAUGUAGACAUAUUUUAGAUUGUAGAUUCACUCAUUGUGCACUGUAUGUAGUCACUUGUUGAAAUCUCUAAAAAGACAAAUAUUUAGGAACGGAGGGAGUAGAAAACAGAGUUGGUGAUGAUCACUACAAAAAAAAUACACUUCCGUGAUGAUACGUGUUUGUCACAGUAGGUCGCACUUUUUGUCAUGCAUGUACAUGCAUGACAAUUUUAUGACAGAAUCAAGAUAGUCAUACCUGUGCUGUCGUAGAAGUGUUCCAUGACAUUACCAAAAUUAUCAUCACGGAAGUGUCCACUUCCAUGACGAUAAAUCGCGCGUCACAGAAGUGCUUUCGUCAAGGGUGACCGACACGUGGCAUCCACCCUAACAGAACGCCGUUAAGCUAUCGGGUCCGGUUUUGGAUCCGAUAACCCACUAACAGCCCCGACCAAUGGGGAUUUUCCACGUGUAAAAUCAUCAUUGGCUGGAGGAAACACGUGUCGGCUCACCGUUGGGACAGAUGUCAUCCACUCAUUGGACAGGAGGCGCCUAUGAUAGGUCGACAUGUGGCAUGGCCCAAUAGUGGCCCAUUCCGGUGAAAAGGCCGGCCCGUUUGACUUGGUCAAAAGGUGGCGGGCCAGCCCACGGCAAGCCUGUUAACGGCUUGUUCGCAUAUAGCCCAUUUAUAGCCCGCUAACCCAGGGCCCGUUUACGGCCUAUCUGAAUUAGGCCCAGUAGCGUCAUCUGGGCCGUCCAAUAUAAUUCUAGCUUGUUUUAACUUCCGGCCCAUGUAUGGCCCAUGACGUCUUUUGGCCCUUAUGAGGCCCUUAGUAAACCUCGGCCCAUUAACGACCCGUGGUAAAACUGGCCCGGAAUGAACAGUGUAUCACUUUAUACCCAUUAACGACCCAUUAUUCCGUUGGGCUGUUUCCAGCCCAUGUUAUCUUUCGGCCUUCUCAGGGCCCAUUUAUUCUUGGGCUCAUUUCUAGCAUUCGUUUACUUUCGGCCCAUUACUGUCAUUUUCUGCUUGUGGGCCAAAUACAGCCCGUGGUUACAGUCAGCCCGUUUGUGGCCCGUUAAUACGUUGGGCCAUUUUCAUAGCGUCAUCAAAUAUGGCCUAUUAACGACGGCCCAUUAUGGCCGGCCCAUGAACGGACGAUUUCAACUCUAGCCCAUUUACAGCCAUAAUGUGGUCUGUUAUUGGCCCAUGUUUGGCCAACCGAUCGUACGGCCCGUAGAAGGCCCAUUGAUGAUACGGCCCGUAGAAGGCCCAUUGUUUCCACGGCCCUUAGAAGGCCCAUUGUUUCUACGGCCCUUAGAAGGCCCAUUGUUUCUACGGCCCGAAGGAGGCCCAUGUUAACUACAGUAAAUAUGUAGCCCAUUGUUAAUGUGGCCUAGUUUUAAAAAAUAGGUUAUUCCGGCCACUAGCAAACCGCGGAAAAAGAACUGCACUGAAAUAAAUAAACAAGACAACGGAAAUAAAUAAGCAAGCAACUUACGCUAGGCUAUCACGGCUAUUACACAUAUUACAUCCACUGGGCAUCAAAGUUUGCCACAAGUGCAAAUAUAGGGAACAAAGCAGCAUAUAAACGCCGCAGCAAAACAAGUCCAGAACUGAAACCACUUCAGAAGAGCUCAAGAAACAAUAUCCUGGGUACCCAUAAUGCUGGCAAGAUGCUUAGCAAGCUUAUUAACUUUCUCUUGUUUGGCGCUUAAAUCCUCCAGCACUUGCUGUUGCACCAGAAAGUAUGCAUCUGAAUUCUGCAGGGACUUCCUCAGUACUUCGGCUUCCUGUCACAUAACAUUUGAUCGAUGUCUUUCAACUUGAAGUUGAGACUCAAGAAGCCGACCUGAUUCAGGCAGCGAGUUCGAAGAGCCGGUGCCAGCAGUAGUAGCCAGUAACUCGAACACUACAUCAAGAUAGGACUUUGGGGUUUUCUCAGUGUCUUCAAUAUAGUUUUUAUCAGCUUUCUUGGAGAACAACAGGGAUGUCUCACUAUCUUGAACCUGAUCUGCAUUACUUCCUUUACCAUUGCAUAACGGGGUACUCUUCUCCAAUAGUUUAUCCGCGUUCUAAAGGAGAAACAAACAAACACAUCACAGGUUUACAAUGUAGUAUAUGAAACUCAUUUUGGUAAACCAGUUUAGUAGUAAGGUGGACAGGAUAAUAGCAUGAAACAAACAUAUAUCUAUGUCGUAUGGUCACUGUAUGGUCUAUAUCAUUCUAGUUUAUGUUGCCAAAUCAAGAUAGAUACAGUUCGAAUCAUAUCUAUUUAAGACAAAGCAGCAUAGACAGAAUAUAAGUGUGGGAAACUACACAGCAAUAACAACACUUGUAAUGUGCUUGGCAUGAGAACAUAACUGUUUAUUCAAUUGAAACUGAAAUCAACAUAGAGCAAGUACAACAGCAAACACGUUAAAGAAACAGGUUUAAAACAUACCUGUUGCGCCAUUGGAGUUUCAAUUGCAUCCUUCAAAUUUGAAAUUAGUUGGUAUGAGAAAAUACAGUGAUGCAAGAGCAAAGUAGUAUGAACCAUAGCUACGGAACCUGACCUGAGAACAAUUCUUCUUCUGGUUUAAGCGUUGACUUGGGGUUCGGAGUGGUGGUCCUCGUGCUUUGGGCACUGCAGUUGCCUUACUAACUGCUCGUGUUUGGGUGCUCUGUGGUGGAGACGAUGCUGUGUCAACGGGAACUGGGUUACUAUCUGCUGGGGUUGGGGUUAGAAGGGGUGUAGCUGGUUCUCUGUCCAACUGGGUAGGGGUACAAUCUGCGUGAGUCUGGGUUACGUGUGGUGGGACUGGUUCUUGGGCAAGUACAACCGUGGUUCUAUCUCCGUCGAUAGGUAGCACGAUCUUUUCUGAAGACCGUGUUUUUACUCCCACAGAUACUGCCAUCACCCCCUCCAAUUGAAAUGGCUGAUAAACAAGAAAAGUAAUUGAAUGUACAGACAUUGUAAGAUAGACAGGUGCAAUGGAUAGUAGGGAAGAAAACAGGGCAUGAAAUAAUUCACAUUUAUGUUGUCUAACCAAACAGAAUAGCAGGACAUAAUUUCAAAUAUAUGAUGGCUAAUUAAACAGGAUAGCAUGACACAAUUUCACAUGUAUGAUGGAUAACUAAACAGGAUAGAAUGACAUACUUCAAAAUAUGAUGACUAUGUAAACAGGAUGACAUGAUAUAACUAUAAGAUGUGUCUAUUAAAGUGGUUGGCAUGCCAUAAAUUACAAACAUGCCGUCGAUGGAAACAUGAUGGCAUGAUAUAAUUCACGGAUAGAAUGACAUAAUUCAAAAUGUGAUGACUAUGUGAACAGGAUGAGAUGAUAUAACUAUAUUAUGUCUUUAGAAAAUGGGUUGGCAUGCCAUAAUUCAGAUACAUGUUGUCUAUGUAAACAUCAUGGCAUGAUAUAAUUCAAAUAUAUGAUUUAUAUACUAAGGAAGUGAGCAGAGGGCAAUCGCAUAUAUGAUGUGUCAACUAAGGAGAUGGCAUUCAAUAUCGUGUAUAUGAUGUAAAAACUAAGCAUUGCAAUACAACAUAUGCAUGAUAUGAGUAAUAUAACCCUGCCAAGUUUGAGCAUACACCUCAGGGGGGUAAUAGGACUGGUCAUCUGCCUCUAAAUCCUCCUCUGAAGAGCUAUCUGUAACAAGCAACAUAUCUGCUUCACCAGGUAGCAUUGUCUGCUCUAAAGACCUUGUUUUCACUCCAGAUUUCUCCAUCACCAAUUCAAAUGGCUGAUGCACAGGAAGAGCAAUUGAAUAUACAAACAUUGUCGACAAAAGCAAUGAGAAAUACAAAAAAAGGACAACAUGAUAUAAUUCACAUAUAUGACGCUUGGCUAAACAGCAUGGCAUUGCAUAAUUCACAUAUAUAAUGCCUUGCAACAAGAUAGCAUUGCAUAAUUCACAUAUAUAACGUCUUGCAAAAAGAUGGCACUGCAUAAUUCACAUAUAUGGUAAUUAGACACUAAACAUGUGGCAUUCACACAAAUCAUGUCUAAACUAAGCAAAUGACAUAGCAAUGCAAGAUACCAUACGCACGAUAUGAGCAACAUAACUCUGCCAAGUUAGAGCAUGCACCUCGGGGGGGGAUAGGACUAGUCAUCUGUCUUUGAAUCCUCCUCUGAGGAGCUUUCGAUAACCAGUGAGAUAUGCGCUUCGUCAGAUAGCAUAGUCUGCUCUGAAGACCUUGUUUUCACUCCAGAAUUUUCCAUCACCGUGUCAAAUGGCUGAUGCACACGAAGAGUAGUUGAAUGUACUAACAUUGUUGACAAAUGUAAUACGUAACGAAAAAAAAGGAUGGCCUGAUAUAAUUCACAUAUAAGAUGACUGGCUAAGCAGGGUGGCAUUGCAAAAUUCACAUAUAUGAUGCCUGGCUAAACAAGAUGGCAUUGCAUCAUUCACAUAAACGAUGAAUAAACUAAAUAGAUGGCAUUCACACAAAGCAUGUCUAAGCUAAGCAGUUGACAUAUUUGAUGUAUAAAGUAAGCAAUGCAAGGCACCAUAUGCAUGAUAUAACCAACAUCACCAUGCCAAGUUAGAGCGAAGACCUCAUGGGGUAAAUAGGAGUGGACUUUUGCUUCUGAAUCCCCCUCAGAAUAGUUAUCUUCCGCUUGGUUACGAAACGAAAUGGGUGGAGGGGGGCUGCCUUUGCGCCCACCAUGGAGCGACGUCUGCAUGAAAUUUUAUUGCCAUGCAAGGCUCGUCUCUUUUGCUCUACAUGUUCAGUUCAUUGUGUACAAUAACUGACAUGCAUAGGAAUAAAACAUAGUGAGAUUAUGUAAGGAGUGCAUGCACAAAUCCAGAGUGAUGGUAGCAAACUGUGGAUAGACCCAAAACCAAUGAUAGCAGGCAGGUAAUAGCUUUAGUUAAAAAAUACAGAUAAUGGCUCCUUUAAUGUUUGUUUGCACCCAACAUGAAACUCACAGUAGACACCCGAGAUUAACCAGAUAGUAGACAGAUAGUACUGAUUGCUGCCCCAAUAUGUACCCCACAACCAUUUAAAAACUCAAGUUUCAUCAUAAGUGGACCUGAGUCGGAGUCUAAUAGGUGAACACGACGAUAAAGUAGCAUGUCAUCAUAUUAAGCGAUGCAUAACGUAAGCAGACACGGAAGAGUGCGACCUCUCUUGCGGACCCAUGUAGUCCUCAAGGUCAUCUGCUCAGUUGAUGAUGGUAAUGCAGUUGUCGUGGCUGCCAGCGGCGGGGAAGAGGAUCUGAGGCGGCGAAAGACAGUCUGGAGAGUGGAUCCCUGCUGUGGUGAACCCUUCCGUCGUUGGAGCAGCUGAGCUGGGGUGGAACACAGCACCGCAGGAGCAGGACAAACCACACAAGGUUUUCUUUGACACAUAUCUGUAACAGAAGUAAUUGUGUAAGGACUUGUUUGAAUUUGAGGAUUCUAAAAAUGCAGGGAUAGGAAAUAGACAGGAAUAGGAUAGGAAUGCACAUGCAAAACAGAGAAUUCAAAAACACAGGAUUUCUGCCAAUCUGGGUGUUUGGUUCACAAGAAUUGGAAGAUCACAGGAUGCAAAGAAGCAUGGUGAGAUUAAGUCAAACCACAAGAAGUGUACAACCUCUUUGGCGAAGCCAUGUCGAUCUCGGCGUGAUUGGGUUGGCCGGUGAGGAUGCUCCGGCUGACUUGGCUGUCGGAGGAGGGGAAGAAGAUCUUAGGCGUCUGGAGAUGGAGCCCGAGGUACUGCUCUGCUGUGAUGGAGGGUUUCGUCGUUGGAGCAGCUCUGGUGAGUUGUACGACGCCGAGGCUGAAGCAGGACAAGAGAGACAACGUUAACCUGAGUGGAAUUCUAAUAGCAUCUCCAAUAGAUGACGUAAAAUACAUAACCACAAAGUGCUAGAUGUAUACAUCAGCCGCUCAUCUCUGAACUUAACUGUCGAAACUGAAUUUAACUGUCGAAACUGAACUUAACUGUCGAAACUGAAUUUUGCUGUCGAAACUGAAUUUUACUGUCGAAACUGAACGCACUAGAGGUGAGGCUACACGUCAGUCGACUGACUUUUUCAUCUCUGGUCAGUCGAUUUUGCAGCCGUUGGAUACGAAAUCAAGGGCCUGCAGUUCAUCUUCAACCUCCACCCCCCUGAGCCGCCAGCCACCACCGGCCAAACAGCCGCCCCCCGCCGCCCGCGGCCGGCGGUGCGCCGCCCCGCCCGCCCCGAAAACACUCCCCACCGCCGGUCCGCCGCCGCCCCGGNNNNNNNNNNNNNNNNNNNNNNNNNNNNNNNNNNNNNNNNNNNNNNNNNNNNNNNNNNNNNNNNNNNNNNNNNNNNNNNNNNNNNNNNNNNNNNNNNNNNNNNNNNNNNNNNNNNNNNNNNNNNNNNNNNNNNNNNNNNNNNNNNNNNNNNNNNNNNNNNNNNNNNNNNNNNNNNNNNNNNNNNNNNNNNNNNNNNNNNNNNNNNNNNNNNNNNNNNNNNNNNNNNNNNNNNNNNNNNNNNNNNNNNNNNNNNNNNNNNNNNNNNNNNNNNNNNNNNNNNNNNNNNNNNNNNNNNNNNNNNNNNNNNNNNNNNNNNNNNNNNNNNNNNNNNNNNNNNNNNNNNNNNNNNNNNNNNNNNNNNNNNNNNNNNNNNNNNNNNNNNNNNNNNNNNNNNNNNNNNNNNNNNNNNNNNNNNNNNNNNNNNNNNNNNNNNNNNNNNNNNNNNNNNNNNNNNNNNNNNNNNNNNNNNNNNNNNNNNNNNNNNNNNNNNNNNNNNNNNNNNNNNNNNNNNNNNNNNNNNNNNNNNNNNAUUCAGUCAACUGAAGUGUAGCUAAAUCGGAGCAGCAUCGCAAGCAAGAGCAAGAGCAAGAGCAGACCAGACAGGGGACCGAGAGCAAGAGCAGAGCAGCAGCGCGGGCGAGAGCUAAAGCAGCAGCAGCUCCUACUAAUGUGGACGUCACCGCCGAGGGAGCGACGCCGUGGAGGAAGUGGCCGGCGACGCCGCGGUGGAUGGAGCCGCGCUGUGUCGGCUCGGGACCGAGCGCCGGCAGCACCGUGAGAUCGAAUCAAGAAGAAAAUGCGGCGAUUAGUGUACAACCUCUUUGGUGGCGCCGAUUAGGCCGCAGCUUCAUCCGAGGAAACGGUGAUGCUGAUGCUCUUCCGGUGGUGCAGGUGAAGAUGGCGGUGUGGGAAUGGAGCGGCCGCGAUAGACGAGGCGAUCGUCGGAGCAGCUCCUUGGAGGUGGAGGAUGGGGCAGCUGGACCGGCGGGACGACGAGAUGGACGAUGGAUCCUCAUCCGGGGAGGUGGACGACGGACGUCGAGCUGUUGCGAUGGACGACGUCGUCGGGGAAGAGGCUCCGGCUGGGCAGUGGUGAGGUGGCGGACGGAGGAGGGUGGGGUUUCGCGGCUGGAGCGGAGAGUUUAUGGCGGCCUGGGAUUUCGAAUGGCAAAAAGGAGGCGAUGUGAGGGGGUGAACCAUGACUUAGGGACGCGCUUGUCCAAAAUGUAGGGUGUGUUACAAAAGUACCCCGCACCGAUUUGAACUAGCGGCCCUUUCGGCUCAGGGUUAGAAGGGGGAUUUCGCGUGUCGGGAUUUGGCAGCUGGAGGGAGUUUUCGCGCGCAUUGUAAUUUCGGGAUAGCAGGGCGCGGGUUGUGAAGGCGCCAGUUUUGGGAGCACGAUAUCUGAAUUUUUGGGAUAUAACAAGGCGCGGGUUGAAUUUGAGGGACAAGCCUAACGUGUAAUAUUGUACUUAUACGUACCAAAUCAAUUCGCACUUCCCUCAACCAAAAAGAAAAUGAAAAAAAUAAAACUAUUCACACCACACAAAGAGAGAGUCUUGCCCCGUUUUACUAUAAAUAUGCUAUUUAAAGCUACUCAUACCAACAAUUUAGUGCAAUUAAAUGCUAUUCGGUAGUAUGAAUCCAUGUUAUGUCCAAUUAAUUUUUUUUGCUUGCUGUAUAAUGCAUGUAACCUACUCAUACCAACAUUUUAGUGCAUUCCAAAUGUCUAUACUACCGCUGCAAUUCGAACUGAAUUUGAAUUCGUUUCUCUAUUUCAAUAACAAAUCUACAAUCAUGAUUGUUGCCAACUUCAACCAUCAUUCGUGUAUUACCUUAAUAACACACCACAUGAUUACUAUAGAGAUAGAUAUGAACUAUGUGUACUACAUGAACUCGAAUUCUAUUUUUUGAAUACACUUGAUGUUGAUUCCAAAUAAUAGUACAUUUGAUGUACUAACUAUAUAUUCAUAAUCUAAACCAUGUUCCAUACGUGUACACCGUGUUUAUCACACAUAGUAUAGUGCCCCGCCCCCUACAUUAUGACAAGUAUUUAGACCUCAGCUGCAAAAGCCACACAUUAGCCCAAAUUAUGAUCAAUGUUCUAUAUGUUAUACGUAGUACUAGCAAGAUGCCCAUGCGUUCCACAGAACAUCAACAUGAUCAAGGGGAGGCCUAAUUUGCAAAUAUGGAGAGGGGUGUGGGCAUCUUUUUUCAAAAUUGCCAUAGUUUCCUUCCUAUCCGUCAGAUAUAAAUCGGACGGCCUAUAUUGCAGGAUGGCACCAUCAUCAACAACUCCGUUUUUUAUAAGAGUAGAGAUAAAAUAUAUUAUAUGUAGUAUAACAUGUUCAUAACCACACCAUGUGUAUCACCGUUAUAUAUAUUCACACAUGCGUCGGUUUAAAACACUAUGAUAAAUUCUUCAAAUAUCCGAAUUCGCUUUUUGUAAUGAAGUAUGAUCUCUAUUCGUCUUUUACACCCACACAAUCCUCUUAUCUUUGUAGCUAGCUAGCGCUAACUUUCUCUUGUGCAUGCAAACGCCCGCAUCCCUCUAACCCUCCCUCGGCAUUCUCUAGCUCCAUCGCGCAAAUUCAUCUUUUCACUUUAGGUCGUUCACCCAUGGUGUGUGUAGGCCCCUCCAGCUCCUUCUUUACGGCACACGUCAACCGAUAUGCCUCUCUAGCCAGGUGUGCCUAGCAUAAACACAAGCUUCCCCUCUUCUCUUAUCACCGUCCAUGCCUCACUCCCACCACUCUUUUCAUCGAUCUCAUACUCGCACACUCCUUCCCCCUCGAUAUAGUAUGACUCUCGCACCACCUCCUAGAUGCAUCCCUCUCUCUCUAUCCUUCUCCCCGUGCCUCAUUUGCUUCUAACACACACAUGCAUGUAUACCGAUCGAUCUCCCAACAUAUACCUAGGUCGACUUUAACUAUCCCCCCCCAUCGAUCGACGUACCUCACAAGUUAUGUCUCUCCUUUCUCUGAAUAAGGACGAUUGAUCUUCCUAUGUAGUUAUGUCUGCUUACCAUAGCCAUAUCGCCCCCCCCCCAUCAUUCAUGCAUGCCUCCUGACCCGUCUCUCACACGCACGUGCACAGACGGGCAGCCAUCCCCUCUCUUAUUGAUAUUGCAAGCGUGCCCUCCGGUUGUCUAGCAAGCCUAUCCCACCAUUUGUUAGAAGCAACUCCACUACCACUCCCUCCAACACUCUAGCUCUGUCUCUCUCCCAACCUUAUUCCUCUCCUACACAUAUGCAUGGAUGCCGAUCGAUCUCCCUUAAUACAUCAGGUAGAUCGAUCUCCCUUAAUACAUGCGGUAGGCCUCUCUCCUUCUCCACACAUAUACCAGCCAUUGUACAUCUAUAGUUAAUUAGGCCUCCCCCCCACCACACACCGAUAGUCGAGCGCUGUAGGUAGGUACCCAUGUCAAGAGACAAACCGCACCUGUCCCCUCUCUCGUUCUAGUAGGCCAACCACUCUAUAUCUUUGACGUGGGCACACACAAAUUAGAUGGCACUCUUUAUCGACCGCGCGCGCACACUCACACACAUCAUCCCUCUCUUCGAUUCUAUGGACACCUCAAGUCGAUGAUACCUCCACUCUCUUCUCGUGGAUCACCCCCUCUAUAUAUAUGAUAUAUCCAGGACUCUAUUUCACACACAUUGCAUAUGUUACAUUUUUUGAUUGACCCCCCCCCCAAGAAAACUCUCACGAACCCACACACUAUAUCUCUCUACGUUUGUAUCUCUCUCACACAACCCCACGUAGGUGGUGUACGUAUACAAGAAGAGAAUAGGUGCACCGUGCACGUACUCACACUUCAUGCCCAGCCACACCCGCGUGGGUACACGGUGGAGCUCAUUUCUGUACGAAAUGGCAGCCCACGUGCUAAUUUGAACGCGUGUAGCGGUUGUUUACCUACGGAAGUCGUGUACCAUGCGUGCACGAAACAAAGUUCGACUUGAUGCGUUGGCGCGUUAUUUUUAAAUAAAGUUAUAUCGCUCAAUGGCACGUACACAGAAUAUGAACCGAUUUUUAUGGAGAAAAAGGUAGUCCGCUCCACUAUAUACAAUGGAGCCUCCCUGCCUGGUUUGUCUCUCUUCAGACUAUCUCACACAAGGCUGCGGUGGCCUCUCUCUCUCACCGUUGGUCACUGGUCCCGCCGCAUCCCGUCCGCCGGCGGAAAGGGAGGACGUGCAUCAUUUCUCCGUUCGACGGCGCCGAGACAGCACGUCCCGAUCUGCGGUGCACACCGUUCUCUCUGACCAAGCUCCGGCGCGGUAGGGCCUACGCCACCUGCUCGCUGCCGCGGUAUGGGCAGAUUCCGCCCGCCGCCGCUCACCUAGUUACAUCCCGGCGACCUCCAGGUAUCCCCUCCGGCCUUUCUCCACUGCCCGUCUUCCCACGUCGCUGCAUGUGGAUCUUCCAUAGUUCUUUGCACAAAACGUAGCUUGUCCGGCGUACUUUCCAUAUUGCAAUGUCGUCCUCACACCGUUUUAGACAAACACAACCAUGUUGUUAUCUUCCCUUAGGACAAGGAAUAUGCUUCUUUUUUGUCGUCGCAACUGUCAUCAAUAAUAUUUGUCUUUUUACAAAUUUCAAAUGGGCAUAUUUUAGAGUGUAGAUUCACUCAUUUUGCUUCGUAUGUGUACUCCCUCCGUUCCUAAAUAUUUGUCUUUCUAGAGAUUUCAACAAGUGACUACAUACGAAGCAAAAUGAGUGAAUCUGCACUCUAAAAUAUGUCUAUAUACAUCUGUAUGUAGUAGUCCAUUUGAAUCUCUAAAAAGACAAAUAUUUGAGUAGUCACUCAUUGAAAUAUCUAGAAAGAAAAAUACUCCGGAGUAUAUUUAAGAACCGAGGGGGUAGUGCACAGCUGCAUGGGAGACUCAGACCGGUUGUUACACCGCAUUAAUAGUGAGUAAUGAGCAGUCAAAUCAUAAGCCCCACCUUUCCCACUAUAAGUUGCUCGGAAGAAGCAACCAUCAAUACGCUCUUCUUUGAAUCUGCUCAUACUACUCCAUCUGUCACUGUUUAUAGAGCGUGCUUCAGAAAAAGACAAAAUCUCUGGGACCAAGGCGACUAGUGAUCGGCCUGAAAAAUAGCAUUGGUAGUUAUAGCACGGCGUCUAUUACUAGAGGAAAUAAUGCGUACACACAUGCAUGCAGUGCUUCCACCCCGGGUAGACACAUGCAUGCACUUACUCCACUCCGUAGUACUACAUCGAGAGAAAAUUGCAGUUACCAUGCCCUAAUUAAUUGAGCAUUAAACCAAACGUGUCUAAAGUCUCUCUGGUGGUGGAAAUGCAUUGAGAGAAAUGCAUCAUAAUGAAGCGCGCCCUGUAAACUGUGACGGAGGGAGGAGUAGUAUGAAGGUGCAAACAAGUACACGUAUGGCCAGUCGGUCAACGCACCUCCUCUUGGCAUAUCACUGACAUGUGGGACCGGAGUGUGAGCAAACCGAUCUCAAUUGAUGGCAAAAUGGCCAACCCGUCGUUCCUUGAGAGAGACGAGGAGCGAGAACACACACAUGGGCUCGCACGGAGGCCAAGAUAUAUUCGAGCAUGGUUGAUCGAUAUCAUCAUUACAUGUUGGGCUGCCGUUUUCCGCCCUUCUCCGGAAUAAAUGUGUACUUUAUCAAAGAUUAAGGAGAAUAAGAGUAUAGAGGCUCCACCAUGCGGUUCUAGUAGUAGUACUACUCGUACUACUAAACCUUGCGCUUGGCUCUUCGCCUCUUCAUGAAGUCGAACAAUGAUGGUACUCCGCAUGUUCGGUACUACAGUGUAUGCAUGUGGCAAUCUGACACCGAAUGAACUGAUGCAUGUCCACCGCCUGGGCGAGGGUACGUUGCAUUAGUCAAAAGGUGUAAGCGAGCUUCACCUUGUCCUGCAAGCUUCUCCUCAUUCUGCGAGUUGACGGGACCCACCAACAAGUAGUGCUAGUCCAUACUCCCUCCUUUCCGGUUAAUAUGGCUUAAUCUUUUUUGCGGGUAAAUGAGAGAGCUUUAUUCAUAUAUAAGCAUUCUUAGGACGAUCAGCCAAGACACUGGUCACUAGGAAGCGAGGUACCCCGCAAAAAAAGAAGUAGGAAGCGAGGUGUUUCAUCAAGCCAGCUCUCGGCCACAUUCAAAGUGCAGCAAGCACGGUUCGCACAAAGAUGCGCCGCCAGGUUUGCUGACCUGUUUACAUGCUGAAUAACAAAAAAAAGGAAAUAUUACCGAGCGCUCCUAUUUGUAACAGGAUAUGAGCCAUAAUUAAAGCGAGAAUUGUGGCGAGUGUUCCAUGCAAUCAACUUCCAUUAUCACAUGCGAGACCCUCGAAGAGAACCAAAUGUGUUGAAGAUUGCUUUAUCACAUUUUAAAAAUAUAAUAAGAGUGCAGACGCUCCUCCAUCCGGUUCCUAGUACUAGUAUAGUAUACCUCUAUAGACUAUAGUAGUAGUACUAGUAAACUUUGCGCUUGGCUGUUCGCCUCUCGGGAAGUGCAACAAUAAUAGUACUAGUAUAGUGUAUGCUUUUGGCAAUCUGACACCGAAUUAACUGUUGCACGUCCACCGCCUGAGCGAAGGACAACUUGCAUUAGUCAAAAGUUCCUCCUUGUCCUGCGAGCCACCGCGCGCAAGCCCUCCCGUCCUGCAAGCUUCUCCUCGUUCGGCAAGUUGACGGGACACAGCAAAGUAAUGCUAGUCCAUACUGCCUCCUCUCCGGUUAAUAUGGCUUAAUUUCAAACGAGAUAAAUACACUGUCUGUCACUGUAUAUUUGUAAAAAUACGGUCAGUGGACUUCAUAAUACGCUCAUUGCGCUCAAUAUAUACAUUUUCCGGUGUUUAUACGGUCACUAGCUCACCCUGGCUGAGUAUGUGUGUGCAUGCACGUGUAGGUUGAGCACUUGAGCGUGACCGUGUGUGUUCCAUCAUGUGCUCGGAUAUGCAUGCAUUAGGGCGUCGCGCGCGUUUUUGCGUCCAUGUGUAUGUGUGACUAUUGCAUACACGUAGGGGGAGUACGUGUAGGGGCCACUAAAGGAGCAGUCAAAUCACACAGUAAGUUAGUCGGAAGAAGCAACCAUCAUUUCACUCUUCAAUGACACGUACGCAAUAUAAAAUGGUUGAUAUGGAGAGAAAAAGAAAACUACUAUAUAUACACUAGCAGGAGCCUAAGCUACAAGCCUGCUUGCUUGGGUUGCUCUCUUCACAAGCAUAGAACGACGGUGGCCACACCGCUGGUCACAUAUCCGGCCUGAUCCCGCAGCUGGGGGAAGGGAACAAUGUCCUGCGUAGACGCGGUCGACAUCGGCGAGGGAGAAAAUCCAUAGUCGGUGCGUCCCAAUCGGGGGUCACCGCGGUAUGGGCCGAUGCCGCGUCCCAACCGCCCUUCUAGCUACAGCCCGACGUCCGUUUCAAAAAUAUUAGUGCAUGUCAACAAAAAUUAUACUAGUAUCGCUGUUCCGUUUCAGAAAAAAAGCAUAUAAGCUGUUACUUCUUACCCAAAGGAUCUUUAUAUCCAACAGACACAAAAUAUCCAUUCGACUGUUCGAAAUUACUUUCACUGCUGAUCUGAUGUCGAGGUAAUUGCUGCAUCGCCACCAAAACCCACCAUCUCUUAAGCUAAAGUAGACCGAGCUAACCCCUAUAUUAGCAUAUUACUAAGAUAAACAGAAGGCACUGUAGAAUCAUUUAGGACAUGAGCUUGUCAAUCUGAAUGUGGAGGGACACCAGCUUAGCCCCGGCCAGCAGCUUGGGCGGAACUGUGAAGAAGGUCAGCUCGUGCACGGCGACGUCGCUGGGAUCCCUGCUGCUUAUCACCUCCAUUUCCACCUUGACGGCGUCGGUCCUGCCUUUGGGCUCCCCCGGCAGGCCGUUCGCCCACAGCUUGGCCACGUAGUGCGGCAGUGGGGACGCCCCCGCUCUAAUGCAGACGACCGACAUGGCGAUAGGCGCGCCGAUGUCGAGCACGCCGCCGACCAAGAAAAAUGUGCGGCCGUCCUCCUCCGUGAACAGCAAGAGUCGUGGCUCCGACAGUGGCACUUGCAGCUGGAGCGCCUUGCCGUACUGGAUCCUGUGCACGGGCAUGGUAUGCACGGUGCUGAUGUGGUGGGAGAGCCACGGCGACGGGCCUUCGUAGCCGCAGACGGGCACGGGGCAUUUGCAGGGCACGAGCGGACACACACUCUGGUGAUCGGCGAGCUUGUGGUAAGUGACGUAGAGCCCACAGCCUUUGUGUGGGCACUCCACCCUCACCGAGGAGAGGACGGUGUCCACCGCCGUGUUCCGCACGUCGAAGCCACCGCCGCGCUCGCACUUCUGGCACUGCCGCUGGUUCCCGGGGUGCUCGACGCGGCAGUCCGCGCAAGCCAGGUGCCCUCCCUUGCACUGCACAAAUCAAUCGAACAACACAUCAAUCAAGAAACCUGCACCUUGCUCGAGCAGCCGAACGGACGAGGUGUAUUCGAACCUCAUACACUGGAGGCUUAAAGGGGCGGAGGCACAAGGGGCAGUGGAGCAAGGUGAGGUCCAUCGAGACCAUAGAGAGCUCCAUCGUCGGGUCCUGUUCCGUCUGCAUGAUCUCGCCCUCCUCGUGCACAACCAUCUCUCGCUUUAUUAGGGCUGGGGCAUUACAAAGCUUUACCGUCACAUAUUCAUACUACUUCAAGGUGCAUUAAAUCAACACAUGCAAGUAGCAAAAGGAGAGUCACGGCAUGCAUGCAUGCAUGCGUUGUAAUUAAUGCAUCGGUAAAUGCAAAUUAUUGAAAUAUAUCGAGUGCAGUGCUUUGAUGUGUCGCGUCAACUCGUACAAGACCAAGAAGUUUGAUUACUACAACACCCUCUUGCCUUAACCGCACCUGCCUUUGGCUACAUGACAGGUGGACCACCGACCUGUUGGGCCCACCUGUCAUGGACGCAAAGGCAGGAGCAGUAAUUCAAUGAAGCUGUGUCCCUUCCUCACCCAUGAGCGUGGUGGCUGGCAGGACUAGGAGAAGCUUUCAUUCGCUACACGCUCUCCCCCCCGUACGUGGUGGACAUGCAGCAGUUCAAUCGGUGUCAGAUGGCCAGAAGCAUACUGUAGUACUCCUCCACUGCAGUAGUACUCCAUCAUUUUGUUCGACUUCCCGAAGAGGCGAAGAGCCAAGCGCAGCCCGGACACUCGUGUGGCAGUUUCAUGUGUAGAGUAGUCUAGGAUAGCGUGUACCAUGCCUGUAAGAUUAAAAUCGUUGGGGUUGGCUCCAUGCUAUAUUUUUUUGAUUAAAAUUAUCUUCUGGCCCUACCUGUCAUCCUGGUGAUUCUAGUUUGCACGCUCAUCUGGUCAAGACAGGAACAUAUAUUUUAAUUUGUGGUGGGGUAAAUGUUAGAGGUUGCAGCAAAUGGAGUAUUGUACACUGCGGGUCUUUCAGCCAAGUUUAGAGGCAGGCCAGUGCUAUGAUGUGUCGCGUCAAUUCGUACAACGAGGAGAAGCUUGAUUUUACUACUACACGCCUUCUCCCUCGCCCAUGCGCGCGGUGGCUCGCAGACGAGGACAGGCUUUUGCUUAUAUAGUACUACAACAAGCUAUCCCUCCCGCUCGCGGUGGACGGACAUGCAGCAGUGGAUUCGAUACUGUAGAAGCAGUAGUAGUAACAUCAUUGUUCGUCUUCUCGAAGAGGCGAAGAGCCAAGUGCAACCCGAACGUGGCAGUUGCGAACCUUGGAGCGCGCAUAUAGCCAGGCUCUUGCAUGAGACAAAAUUGCUAUGUGAGCCCACUAUUGUAGUAAGUACUUGCUAGUAUAGCCCUGGAAACCAGAAAGGAGUAUUUGCCUUUCUAGAGAUUUCAACAAGUGACUAGACUACACCGAGACGGAGUACAUAUGGAGCAAAAUGAGUGAAUCUACACCAUAAAUAAAUACGUGGUUCUCUCGUUUUCCUCUCGGCCUUGGUCGCGGUGCACAAUAUUGAGUAUACUACUACUAUCAUCUUGAAAUUUACGAAGUCAGCAUAGGCACCUCGUCGUCGACGGGAACGUCUCCUGACACGCGAUAGACGCGAGCGGUAGUCGCCUCCAUAGGUGCUUGAAUGCCAAGGAGGGAGAGGGUAGUGGUUCCCGAGACGUUGAAUGGUCAAUGAUGCAUCCUCAAAUUACUCUACAUGAAGAGGGAAUUAAUUGGAGAAGCAGAAUAGAGCCAGCACGAUGUGAAUGCAACAGAGUUUGGAUUCUCAUAUAAAGGCGCCCCACCACUCCAAUCCAUCUACUCCUUAGUCUCUGCGCAACACUGCUCACUCCAAUCCAAGACCAAGUGACUAGAAGCCAGAAGCACCUAUGGAGGCGAUGGACGCGAGCGGCAGUUGGUUGUGCCAAAUCAUCCAAGGCGCCGGCCUGCGGCCCCGCACCGCGCAGUGUUUCCAGACGGUGCUGGCAACCGCCGGCGUCGUAGACCUCGCCGAUGCCGGCUUCGCCUCUCGCAUGGACGACAUGAUGGUCAACUCCAUCCGCAAGUUCGCCGCCGUCAAGAAGCGCGCGGACGACCUUGCCGUACUGCUCCAGCACGCGCGCCCAGGCUCCUCAUUGCCUGCCACCCUCAUCGGCCUCCAUGGUGAUGAACUCUUUCAAGCCCUGGUGGCCCUUCAGUUGCCGGAGGUCGCGAUGAAGAAUGUGCACCUCGAGGCCGCAUUCGUCGCGCAGCGCCUCACCAUGCAAGAAACCGUCGACCUGCACAUCCACGUCUAUGAGGAAAUCGUCUACAUAGGCCACUACAAGGCCAGCGAGGACAGAAAGACGUUGGCCUUCUUCCAGCGGCUGGAAUCUUUGGACGCCAUUGUUCAGAAGCACGUCGACCUGGCCACAAAAGCCGUUGCUACUUAGUUGCCGUUCGAUGGGCCGGCGACCUGAGUCGAGGAGGUGGACGUCGUCGAUGGAUGCAUCUCUUCUUGCCUCCUGUAACCAGCACUGCAUCGCCUCGUGGCCUUAAUGUUUUAUUAGUAUAGGAGUAUAUGGCAUUUUUAUUCCAGUAGUAACGUUUUCACUGUGAGGUGAGGCCGCAGUUGAGCAAACCGACCAUCGGCAAAUCCCCACCCCGCCCACCGGGCGUCGGCUGAGUUUAGAAUUAGAAGAGAGAAACGAGGGAGAAGAGCUAGUUGUAGCACAGACGCUGUUGUCAGAUGGGACUCGCGUUGAUAGAAUAGGAGUACUGAGCACUCGUACCUCUUUUUUGUAGGGAAAAAGCAGUCGUAUGUCUAGUACUACCACUAGUUGGGUGCGUGCGACCUAUACCUGUCAUCACUUUAGGUCUCCUUUUCGAACCGCAACUACGCUUCACCGCACAUAUUUUUUCACGCAUUUAUCCUCCUAUAUGUACUCCUAGGCUAUUUCCACGUGCACCCUUUCGCCGACAUGUGGGACAUAGAGCAUCUGGGUCGUAGUGCAUGCACGACUCGGAGCAUAUGCCGGGGUACUUUACAUUUUAGACGUCACGAAUUACAUGCAAACCCCCCGCAGAAGAAUAAAUAAAUGAAUGAAUUACUACAUGAAACCAGAUUAUUUUCGUAGAAACCGGAGCACGUUCAUUAAAUUUUGGACAUAACACGUUUAUAAAAAACUACCGGACCUAAACCAGUCUAAGGGCCUCUUUGAUUCGCAGGAUAUUGAAAACAUAGAAAUGGGGAAAGUAUGAUGGCGAUGAACCGAGACGAGGAGAACUCUACUAACUCAGUUAGAGGUUAGAGUUAGAUUCUAACCCUGAACUAACUCUAAACCAAAGAGGUGUAUGGAUGGCAAGGUUAGAUUGACAAUAAAUGUUCUUUCUCAAUCACUGCGCAACACUGCUCACUCCAAUCCAAGACCAAGUGACCAGAAGCCAGAAGCACCUAUGGAGGCGAUGGUCGCGAGCGGCAGUCGGCUGUGCCAAAUCAUCCAAGGCGCCGGCCUGCGGCCCCGCACCGCGCAGCGUUUCCAGACGGUGCUGGCGACCGCCGGCAUCGCCCUCAUCGACGCCGGCUUCGCCUCUCGCAUGGACGACAUGAUGGUCAACUCCAUCCGCAAGUUCGCCGCCGUCAAGAAGCGUGUAGCGAAAGCUCCUACUAGUCCUACCAGCCACCACGCUCAUGCGCGAGGGAGUGGGCGUUGUAGUAAUCAAACUUCUCGGUCUUGUACGAGUUGACACGACACAUCAAAGCACUGCACUCGAUAUAAGUCUUUUUACACAUUUCAAAUGGACUACUACAUAUGGAUGUAUGUAGACAUAUUUUGCUUCAUAUGUAGUCACUUGUUGCAAUCUCUAAAAAGACUUAUAUUUGGAAACGGAGGGAGUACAACGCAUGCAUGCAUGCCGUGACCUCCCUUUUGAUACUUGCAUGUGUUGAUUUGAUGCACCUUGCCAAAUUUCGACUAUAAAUUUAACUAACCAAAUUUUCAUGCAUGUCACAAAAAAUUACGGGGCUGUUUGGAUUGUGACUAUGUUUGUCUUAUGUUGCCACAUUAUUUUUCCCACACUUGCCUAACUUGAGUUGCUCAAAUUGUUAGACACACUUUGGCUUGCCUAAGGGAAUCUUGCCACACUUUUUCUGUCUAUAACAUGUGGGGUUCAUUGCUAAUAAAAAAAUCUUGUCUUAGGUGUGGCAAAUAAAAAAUACUUAUAUUUAGGAACGGAGGGAGUAGAAAAUAUAAAUAAUAAUGCAUGUUGGGGCAACCCACGUUUCCGAUAAUUUUAGCCGUGGGCUUGUUCACAGUUUUUACGAGGCGGUGGUUGUUCAUUUAAUGGAGGGACUUGUACCAGACUUGAACGAUGCAAAGUGCGACCUGGCACCCUCAAAAAAAAGUACGACCUGGCACACCAUAACACCACUUGGAACAAGCGGGUAGCUAUCUCAAAAAACAAUCAACAACUAAAAAACGGCGACCUGGCACGUAGUACACAAUUUUAAACGAUUGUUUUGAUGGAGUGAAAAAGGAAAACUACCCCACUACGUAUAUAUAGGCCGGAGCCUCCGCGCUUGCUUGCUAGGGUUGCUCUAUUCACACACUCUCAUCCUCUCUAGAUCUAAACAAGAUAGGGGUGGUAACACUGUCUUUCUCCCUUUAAAAAACACUGUCUUUCUAUCCUCACCGCUGGUUACAGAUCCGGACGUAUCCCCCUCCGCCGGUGAAGGGGAGGAGGGGCAGCGUUUAGGCCGUCGUCGACAGCGAGGGAGGAGACCCACUGCCGGGCGCACCGUUAUCUCUGGCCGAGCACCGGCGCAAGAGGUCCUCCGAUCCCUUCGUCGUUGCCCUAGUGUGGGCGGAUCCGGCCUCCCGCCGCCCACCUAUCCACAUCCCGACGACCUUCAAGUAUAUCUUCCUUCGAAACCGCCUUAGCUCUACUUCCCCAGCUCGCUACGUCGCUGCAUGUGCCUCAUUUUCUACCUCUCAGCCCCUCUUGAUCGGAUGGUCCAAUGUCACCUAUUUUUCCUAUUGUUAGAGGUAAAGCUACUUCAUGGAGUCGAAUCUUGUACUUGGUUCAAACAAGAAAUAAAGUGGGGGUGGGGGAAUUUAGUAUGUAGUACAUUGGACUUGGUACAAAUAGGAAGGAAAGGGGGUGAAAGUAGUAUAGACUGGUCAUCCAACCGGUCUCUUGGUCGAAAAGGGAAAUAUAGGGGUAACGUUGUACAUAGUGGUAUGACCAGGACUAGAUUUGUUAUCCACACAUAGGAGUAGGUGGCUAGAGUGAACAAAAAUGGGACCAACCCAGAUAUGUUUCUUGGAUGUUUGUUUCUCGGAGCAACAAACUAUGAAUCACCACUUUAUGCCCCUGUUUAGGUACAUGGUGCUGGACUGCUGGUGCACCCACUGUCCCAUGCCCUUAUACCAAAUAUUUAGCUGUUCUUAAUCUAAUGCCCCUGGUAAAAAUGAAGCCAUGCCACUGUUAUAAGCCAUGACAAGUUUAGCCAAAUGUUUUUGCCUGUAAUUGUUUGAGACUCUGACUGUUUCGUCUGUAGCUUUUUGUGCAAACAGGGAUAUCCAUUUCACCUGGUUGCUGUUGUGACCUUUUGGUGCACUGCACAAAACUCUUCUUAAAAGAAGUGACUUUUGUGCUGUUUAACUGGAAUGUCAGAAUGGAACAGUUGGUUCAUUUCGGUGGAACUGCACAAAGGGAGAUCUGUGUUCCAAUCCUCAUCAUCCAUAUUGGCACCAUAACCUUCCUUUAGGUAAGAAUGAUAUUUAAUGCAUGUGUUCAUCUCUGUAUUGUGACUGCCAUGAGAAAAUAAUGCUAUUUUUUACUAGUACACUUGUACUCCCUCACUGACGAAACCAAUUCUGAAAUAGAAGGCCACUCAUGUACUUGGUUUCACCAACUGGUGAGGAGACUGAGAAACAGAGCAUGAAGAGGAAGAAGAAGAAGAAGAGUAAACAGUGCCAAGGCGAUCUUGCUGAAGCCAGAGGCCUCAGUCGAGGCCAUUCAAGGGCUCCGGCAAUGACUACCUUACAUGUGAGACGAACCUCCAAGGAGCCCUUCCACUUCUGCUAUCUCACUUAAUUAAUUAGGAGUACUUAAGUACCACUAAUUUAUUGCUGCCUAAUUUUCCUGUCGGAGUUAAACAAAUCUUUAGUAGCACCCUAUGCUGAAUCAUGUACGUGUGUAUGUUUGUCUAUGAGGUGAAUCAUGUGGUGGAGCAGGGAGGGAAUGCUAACUUUACCCAUUAAGAUAAUGAGGGUGCUUCUAUUUGUUAGUGUAUGUUUCGUCAACUAGUCCCACUAUUACAGUAAUCUCACUCUCUCAAUAUAUGUGCCAACAGGGAUGCUCGAUUUUGGUGGAACUGCACAAAAACAUUGGGUGCUUCAUUGCCUCGACAGCUUCCUUCCUUUUCUGUUAGUCGCUAAUCUCGGCUUGCAUUCUUCCUUUGUUGUCAGUCGCUUGGCUUAUCUCGGCUUCCAGUCAAAGGAAAUAGUAAUUGAUAUGCUACCUCACACAGGUUGGUACUGGUCUUUAUCCUGAUUAUUGUGCUUGUCAUAUGUAUUGGUAAUUUGGUAUUGUGCUACUAUUUGCCGAUUUCAUAAAGGAGUAACUUGGAGCCUGAACUCGCAGGCAAAUCAUUACAUCGGGUGAUUUCAGUAGAACUGCACAAAAAGAUCAGAUGGGCAGGUACUUAUGCUGCUGCUAUGUACUCCAAAGUUCACUCAGACAAGCAUCGAUGUUGACAAGAGGAAGUGCCUAUAUUCAUUCGAGUAUCAACCGGCGUCAACCAAUUGUCAAACUCCAAGUAUUAGGAGAGUGAACGCCAAAAAUAUUGCUUGGCGCAUAGCCCAGAAAAACGCAGUCCAGUCUUUGGUCCCAACUUGUGCCUUUUGUUUAUCUGCACAUAUGGUAGCGAACUGUAUGGCAUGGAGUCUAAAGAUUCCAGACAAGUUGGUUGAUGCAUAUAUUCAUCUGGCACUUAAUCAGUCUGCACGCCAGGGAUGCUCCAUUUCAGUUGAACUGCACAAAAAAUUUGGGUGGUUCAUUUUCUUAACCGCCUCCUUUCUCGUCUGCAAUGUAGAAUUUUGGCGAGAUACAGGACCAAGAUGAGCCAGUAAACUAGUUGGAUGAAAGUAGUGGCAAAGUUGCUCAAACCUCCCUCGGCACUAGGCCACUAUUUCAGGAUAAACCUGCAAGCAAAGUUCAGAUUGUCUGUGCUGCCUCUUAUGUACUCGAAAGUUUACUCGUAGAAGCAUUAAUUUUAGCAAGAAGUACCUCUGACUGAACACCAUUUACCAGUCUGCAAUGUAGAAUUUUGGCGAGCUACAGGACCAAGAUGAGCCAGUAAACUAGUUGGAUUAAAGUAGUGGCCAAGUUGCUCAAACCUCCCUCGGCACGAGGCCACUAUUUGAGGAUAAACCUACAAGCAAAGUCCAGAUUGUCUGUGCUGCCUCUUAUGUACUCGAAAGUUUACUCGUACAAGCAUUAAUUUUAGCAAGAAGUACCUCUGACUGAACACCAUUUACCAGUCUGCAAUGUAGAAUUUUGGCGAGCUACAGGACCAAGAUGAGCCAGUAAACUAGUUGGAUGAAAGUAGUGGCCAAGUUGCUCAAACGUCCCUUGGCACGAGGCCACUAUUUGAGGAUAAACCUACAAGCAAAGUUCAGAUUGUCUAUGCUGCCUCUUAUGUACUCGAAAGUUUACUCGUACAAGCAUUAAUUUUAGCAAGAAGUACCUCCGACUGAACACCAUUUACCAGUCUGUACCCUAGGUAAUUAAAGUUCGUCCAUGGAUCAUAUUGGCUGUGAUCUCAAUCAUUUGGAUGCAUAAACAUACUGAACAUGUGUAUAUCUGAAUCUUUUUGUGAAUUAUCUAUGAAUAUUGUUGUGUGAUCUAUCAAUCAUUUGGAUCCAUAGACAUGUUGAACUUGUGUAUAUAUGAAUCUUUUGAGUUGUUGAUAGUGAAUGUUGGCUAUGAAAAUGAGCAUGUCCUGUGAACCAGAGUUUUAUACGAAUGUUUACCUUGUCUGCUGUGCUUGUGUGUGAACUUGUUAGUAUGCCUACUGUGGGAUAUGUGACGUGUGGGUGUCAAAGGCACACCUUCUUCCCGAGAAGAAUUGCACCUGCUUUGUUAGGGUAGCAACUGCGCAUCAGCUCUUUUUAAUCUUUUUGCUCUGUCUUGCCCCUCCCCCGCUCAACCCCUGCUGUAAUGUUUUCGGCCUCAAAACAAACAUAGUACUGCGUUGUUUUUGGGCUUGAUGAAAAAUCGAGUGCUGGUUUCUGUAGGUUGGCCCGCCCAGCAAAUGGGCUGCUGGUCCACCACGGACUGGGAGGCUAAAAAUACAAGUUGUAUGGUGCAUAGGCAAGUAAAAAACGCCAUCGAGAGCCAUCCACUGAAGAAGAAAAAAUCUCUCCUGAUGUGCUUCUUCAGUCGUGCCGCCGGCCCCCUCUAUAAUCCAGUUCACUCGGGGAUCUGGUAUCAUUUUUUUCCAGAGGGCGAACAAGUAUCAGCUAGGCCUAGGUUUUGUAUUUUAACAUGCGUAGCCCACGACAUACGGGUGACAGUGGUUUCAACUUAUUUUUUGAGGUCCAUACCGGCCUAUGGGCUUUUUCUUAAAGAUCGACAGCCCAAUGUAUUUUUUAACAACAUUAUAUAUAUUUAUAUAAUUACUAUUAUCAUAUAUUUUAUAGAGACUUAUAUAUACAUUAUGAAAACAUCCCACGUGUUAUUAACUUAUAAAAGUAAAUGUUUAACCGAAGUUGGCAAGGAAAUCCUGGUUGUUUUUGACUCACAGGCAAGGAAAAUCCUUGUGAUUGUGUACAAAAGCUUGCGAAGAUUUUAAGGACCAAUGUAAUAAUAACACGCUCAUUUUUAUUCUGAGCAAUAACUCGCUAAUUUGUUAAUUAUGUAUAUAAAAAAUGUGCCUCUCUGGUUUAUUUUUGAUAUUAAUUGCUCCUUCUAACAUAACAUUAUAUAUAUAACGAGCCCAGCUAAUUCGUGUAUUUGAAGGAAGUGCAAAUGGGCUGGGAUUCCUUAGAUAAUAUAAAUGGGCCGCAUUGACGCGAAAUUAUUUGUUCACCCAGCCCAGUAAAUGGACUGUACAUUCUAGAAAACAUGGGUUAAAUAUAUGCCACAUUUUUGCAGGCUGACAUGUGGGCCAAUAGGUCGAAGCCUACGCAGGGCGUUGUCAACUUGGUCGGCAUGCACCUUCAAUCUCUCGUCUUCUUCCUCCAGCGUCGCCGGGACCGCCUGGUCCGGCCUCCGGCAGCUAGCGGCUCUGCCUAGCACGCAUCGCUGUGAAGCGCUACCCCACCGCCGGCCAGGCUAUCCCUCCACCCCUCCACACCUCCUGUUAUUCUCCACCGACUGCAGCCCCACGCCGCACCAGAACCAGUUAUAACCCUUCGCCUCCACUCAAUCUGCGACUCCACUGCCGCGUCUUCCCAUCUCCGAGUCGUUCCCGUCCGGGGCCUCGCCGUCAUCCUCCGCCUCGCUGCGCUCGGUGCGACGUGGUCAACAAACAAGAGUCAUCGGAAGAGGACUGUACGUGGAGAGCCUGACGGCUGGGACCCACGAGGUCCAUGGUCGCAUGUAAGGAAAGUUCCUCCUUAUUAAGCUGAAAAAAUGUUUCCUCCACCUGACAGCUGGGACCCACCGGCUGUAUCUUCGUACGGAAGGAAGUGCCUCCUUGUUAUGCGAAAAAAAUUAUUCCUCCCAUUGACAGCUGGGACCCGUCAGAUUUGGGGGCUGACUUGCGGGCCUACUAAGCGGACAUGUACGCAGGGCUUUGUCAACUUAAUCAACAAAUGAUUCUAGCAGUUGGACCGUUGGAUGUUAAUCCAGCAGCCGUGCUCCUUCUUCAACCUCUGUUCUUGCUCCUGUCUCUCGUGGGCGGCACCGCGGCUGUGCUGCCGCACACCCGAACAAGUCAAGUUUCCCACUCCCCUCCAUCUGCGACUCCACUGCCCCGUCUUUCCCAUCUCCGGGUCGUUCCAGUCUGGGGCCUCGCCGUCGUCCACCGGCUUUUAGUGCGCUCGGCACAGUAUGGUCAACGUGGUCAACAACCGAGAGUCAUCGGAACAUGACUGUACGUGAGAGGCUGACAGUGGGGACGCACCACGCCCAUGGACGCAUGCAUGCAACGGAACGCGGCAUGGUCAACGUGGUCAAGGAACGACUUCCAUCGGAAGUGUACUGUACGUGGAGAGGUUGACAGCUGGGUCCACAGCCGCAGCAAAGAAGUGCCUCCUUAUUACGCAGAAAAUAAUGAUUCCUCGACCUAACAGCAGGGACCCACCGGACGGGCCACCGUAUUUUGCGAAAAAAACGUUUCCCCCUGACUGCUGGGACCCACCAGACGGGUCACCGUAUUUCGUGAAAAAAAACGUUCUCCCCACUGUCAGCUCGGACCCACCGGAAGUGCCUCCUUAUUAAGCACAAAAAAAAUGAAUACUCCCCCUGCUAGUUGGGACCCACCUUGGUGGGUGGCUGACUUGUGGGCCUACUAAGUUGACGCGGAUGGAGUGCUUUGUCAACUUAGUCAAUAUGAACGAUUCUAGCUCCAGUGACCGUACGAUGUCCAUCCAACUGCCGUAGUGCUUCUUCAACCUUUGGUCUUCUUGCUCCAGCUGCCCAAAGCAGCGCCGGUCGUGCCGCAUGCUCCUGCCUCUCGUGGCCGGCUGUGCUGCCGCGGAGACCUCACCGCCCCCUACUAUUCCCACCGCUGGUCAGGCCCUACGGCGACGGCAGCCUCACACCGCAGCCGAACCAGUGAACCCUCGUACUCCUCUCCGCGCGGGCUUCCACUGCCGCGUCUUCCCCAGCUCCGCGUCGUCCCCUUCCUAGGCCUCACCGUCGUCCACCGCCCGGGUGCUCUCGGCGCGGCGUGGUCAACGUGGUCAAGGAACGACUUCCAUCGGAAGAGUACUGUACGUGGAGAGGCUGACAGCUGGGUCCACGGCCGCAGCAAGGAAGUGCCUCCUUAUUACGCGCAAAAUAAUUAUUCCUCCACCUGACAGCGGGGACCCACCGGUCGGGCCACCGUAUUUCACGAAAAAACAUUUCCCCCUGACUGCUGGGACCCACCAGCUACAUCUUCGCACGCAAGGAAGUGCGUCCGGGCAAAAAAAAACGAUUCGCCCCCCUGACUGUUGGGACCCACCGGCUACAUCUUCGCACGCAAGGAAGUGUCUGACAGUCGGGACCCACCUGGUCGAAGCGUACGUAGAGUUGUCAUUCUGGUCGCGAACGUGUACGUACAUACUGGUCGAUGUAGAGACGCGCACGUGUCGUAGUAGAGGCGCGCACGUAGCAUGUACACGUACGUACAGCGGACAGGGUGCAAGAAAGUAAAUACGGCCACGUACGUACAUACGGGCGGGGUCUCGAACGCCUACUCGCGCGUACGUACGGCCAGGGCUCGUGUACAUGGCUGGGUCAGAACGGAGAAACAGCGUCGUCGUCGUGUUCAUGGGGAGCCAACCGGCUAGGUCGGAACGGAAUGCGUCGUCGUGUUCAUCGGGAGGGCUUGGACGGAACAGCCAAUGGAAACAAGGCCUGGCGUACCGCGGAACGGAGGAAACGGCCUUGUGUUCGACCAGCCACGUUCGAAACGGGAUCCUGUUCAUCGGGAGGGGUCUGGCGUACCGCAAAACGGAGGAAACGGACCUCCUACGGUCAAAACGGGGGUCCUGUUGAUCGGGAGGGGUGUGGCGUACUGCAAAACGGAGGAAACGGACUUGUGUUGGAGCGCUACGGUCGAAACGGGGGUCCUGUUCAUCGGGAGGGGUGUGGCGUACCGCAAAACGGGACUCCACGGGAUACUGUUCAUCUCCACCGUCGACCCCCUCCAGCCUCCACGGGCUACUGUUCAUCCACCGUCGACCUCCUCCAGCCUCCACCUGCGACUGUUCAUCCACGGGCUCCUGUUCAUCCAGCCUCCACCGCGCGCUACUCCACCGGCUACUGUUCAACCAGCCCUCUCCACGGGCUCCUGUUCAACCACCCCUCCACGGGCUACUAUUCAUCCAGCCCUCCACCGUCUACUGUUCAUCCUGCCUUCACGGGGUGGUCCUGUUCAUCCUGCCCUCCACGGGGUCCUGUUCAUCCAGCCCCAACCGUCUCGAUCGAUCGGGGUCCUGUUCAUCCAGAGGCAACACCACGGGGUCCUGUUCAGCCACCCCCACCGGAAUUGUUCAUCCAAACCCCCCCAGCAACGCUCACUGUUCAUCCAGAGGCAGCAUCGAUCGGCUUCAGUUAGCAGCAGAAGCCAAGGAAUCGCUCGAUCGGGUUUAGUUAACAGCCAUCGAUCGAUCGCUCGGGUUCAGUAACGCGUAGCCUGCAGUGCAAUCGCUCGGGUUCAGUUAGAGCCCAACGCCUCGCACUCACGCGUGUGCGUGUACGAGAGAAACGCGCAUCGCUCGGCCCCGACCACCCACCGUAACCGGGAACACCCCGAUAUUUUCCUUGCCCUCGCUUCUACCACGGUUUUUUCCGUCAUGGACGGCCCAAAGAAUGUCAUGCAGCUGCGUCUCUGGCCCGCCCAGGACGAAAAGCCCAUUUUAUUUCAUGAUUUUUUGUCAUAGAAGUAGGACCCAACCACAUAUAUGAUGAUACCGUGUUUUGUCACAAUUAUUGUCAUAGAAGUGUCAUAAGUAUGACAGAAAAAAAUUGUUCGGCCCAAAAUGUCAUGGAUGUGUCUUUUUUUCUAGUGGAUGGUGUGCGUGCCAUCCUGCAAUAUAGGUCGUCGGAUUUAUAUCUAACGGAUAGGAAGGAAACUAUGGCAAUUUUGCAAAAAGAUACCCACACCCCUCUCCACGUUUGCAAAUAAGGCCUCCCGUCAUUCAUCCUUUUCUCUACUCUUACUAGCGAUGUGCCCGUGCGUUGCAACGGAUCCAAAAUAGAAUAAUACAUGUUCACAAACUUGAAGAAAAACACUCUAGUUUGGUGUAUAUAUCACUAAAAAUAUACUCGUAUUAGGUUUCACUCAAAAUAUAUUCCUUAUGGCUAUUUUGAUGAGGUGGGGGAGGGAUGUGGUUGGUUUCAAGAUACUAAGGGGUUUCUGCAAAUUGGAGCAGAGAAGUGGGAUCUUGUUGCAGAAAUGCCACGACUUACAUCAUAGUCGUUAGAUGUAGAUCUGAUGGUCAGAAAUGACCGAUGGCAGACACACCAUCAUCACCAACUGAGUCUUUUAUAGGAGUAGAGAUAAAAAAAAUAGAGUUGGUGAUGAUGGUGUGCCUGCCAUCCUGCAAUAUAGGCCGUCCGACUUAUAUCUGACGGAUAGGAAGGAAACUAUGGCGAUUUUGCAAAAAGAUACCCACACCCCUCUCCACAUUUGCAAAUAAGGCCUUCCCUCGUUCAUCCUUUUCUCUGACAAGAUAAACUACUCAUAUAAAUGCAUCUUGAUGUUCCGUGCAACGCAUGGGCAUCUUGCUAGUCUCUCACAAGAUAAACUACUCAUACAAAUGCAUCUUGAUGUUCCGUGCAACGCACGGGCAUCUAGCUAGUUCCUUUUAAAAUAGUUACUGCGAUAAUUGGGUUGAAGUGAUAUAUUAUAUGUCUGCCCCGAAUGAUUUCAGAUUCACUAGUAGUAACAAAGAAAAGGUUGUCUUGUUAAUUAACAGAAAACAGGGUGAAAACUAUCACAUGAGGCCGGUGAAAACAAGGCACAUUGGGUUCAGCGUCAUCGUCACUACAGCUGUGCGCGCGCGAGAAGUCUACAUAUCGAGGGGGCUAUGGAGAAAAAGACAUAUCAAGUGUGUCUGAGUGAGGCACACAGACACAAUGUUUGAGAGAGAAACCAAUUGCCAGAUUAAGAUCAGAUCGAGUUGUCACCCUUCUGCUGUCAUUGUUGGGGUUGGGGGAUGGGGAAGGGGAAGGGGAGGGAGAGAAAGACGUAUCAAGAGUGCGUGCGGUAAGCACAGAGGCACAACUAGCGAGUGUGUGUGUAUCUGUGUGUGUUUGAAAGAGGAGUAGAUAGAUUACUAUCAAGAUCGAGGUGCCACCCUACUCCUUCGGUGUCGGGUAGUGUGUGUGUGUCUGUGUGUGUGUGUGUGUUUGUGUGUGUGUGUGUUUGAUAGAGUAGCCAGUCGAUAGAUUAGUAUCAAGAUUGAGGUGUCACCCUACUCCUUCGGUGUCGGGAAGUGUGUGGGUGGGUGGGGGGGCAGUGACACUUACAUACCUCUACUCUUAUAAAAAAUAGAGUUGGUGAUGAUGGUGUUCCUGCCAUCCUGCAAUAUAGGCCAUCCGAAUUAUAUCUGACGGGUAGGAAGGAAACUAUGGCAAUUUUGCAAAAAGAUACCCACGCCCCUCUCCACAUUUGCAAAUAAGGCAUUCCCUCGUUCAUCCUUUUCUCCCACAAGAUAAACUACUCAUACAAAUGCAUCUUGAUGUUCCGUGCAACGCUGGGCAUCUUGCUAGUAGGGAGAAGGAGUUUGUGUGACCCAUAUCUAUAUUAAGGGAUAGGUAGAUAGGAUGUGUGUGAGGCAUACUUAAAGCAUCACAGAGAUAAACAAACGGUGUGCAUGCAAGUGCCGGAAAAAAUGAAGUGAUAAACAAUGUCUACGCGCGCGCGCAUGUGUGUGUGUGUGUGAGAGAGAGAGAGAGAGAGAGCGAAAACUCAAAACAAAAGGUGCUCUGCUAGAAUCCCAUUGUAUGUAUUCAUAUGGUUCCGGAACUCGAGUUAACCUUAGGCAUAUGUGUGAGAGACAUAAUUAUCCUUUGAGACAUUAGUGGUUGUGGGUGGGCGGAAUUAAAGGGGUGGGCAUGUUCGACAGAGAGAGCGUGUGUGUUUCUGUGUGAGAGACUUGAAGGAUGGAGUAGAAAGACGAAUUCUAACCUUGAUGGAGGGAGAGAAAUACAUGAAGUGUGCGUGUGUGAUUCUGAUGCCCACGGGGAAAUGAUAAAUGUAUGCGUGUGAGAGAGAUUGCACAAUUCAUUCACGUAUCACUAUCUAGCGAUCGUGGACGUGCAUCGCUUGAACAUAAAUCAAUAUCUACUUUGUAUCGUGGCCAAAGGUACAAUAUUGAUUCAACGCUAUAAAGAUUGGACACUCACAUAUCACAUUUUUUUCUAUCUAAAUAAACCUUUUCAAUUGUGCAUGCCAAAGUUACAUUGAUGUUUCUUCAAACAACCAAUGUAGCUAUCAUGUACAUGCACCAUUGUUACUAUUGCAUUCAACUUCAUUAGUCUUGGAUGAUUUAAGGUUCUAUUAUGAAGUAAUAUAUGUAAUAUUCAUAUAUGAAUUCACGGGUAUGCAAUUUAUGAAAUGGAGGCUAUGUAAUCAUAUGAGGUAACACUUUUAAGUAGCGGACUACAAUAUCCAUUUCUUUUGUGGGACUACAAUAUCCAUUUCUUUUUGUGCACCUUUACACUAACACGUCAAUGCAUUAUGUUUAAAGUAAAUAACCAAUGGCACUAAAUUAUCUAUUUACACGAGAAAUACAUAGGCUGAGCGUUUGAUCCCUUUUUUGUGAACGCGCCUCUACACCCGUACGACUGGCCGCGCCCAUGUGAACGUCCAAGUUAUCGGCGCAUCAUCCCGAGUUAUUGUCUUUUUUUGGGGGUGGACUUCACACCAGUUAUUAACUGCUGACGCGUGCCCCGUGUACACAAUCUCGCAUGACCUUCCCGCUAGCACGGUCCAAAAUUAGUUGAAACUGGAUACGAACGUGUAGCGAUCCGGCCUCAGACGGUCAAAUCUCUGUGCAUAAGUGUCGUCCAUGGAUCGGUAAUGCUGACACACACAGUGCUUGAAUGGAUUUAUAAUAGAGUAGCAAUCACACACUUAUUACAUCGAUAGUCUCAAGAGAGAACUUGUUACAAUAAAUAUUGCUUAAGGCCAUCUCAAUAAGAAAACAGCGGAAGGCUUGGAAGAUAAUGUGAGUCCAUCAACUCCAACGGCAUAGCUGAGUGCACGACAACGAUCUAGCACACCUUACUCUUCGUCUGAAAAGUCUGCAACAUGAUAUGUUGCAGCCCGAAACGGGUCAGCACAUGGAAUAUGCUGGCAAUGUAACACAGUAGAGCAAUGAACAGAAUAAAAGCUAUUACUACAUUCAUAUAUGGCUGGUGGAGGCUCUAUAGUUACAAUGUUUUGCGAAAAGCCAAUUUUUUCCUACAACAAAGGAAUAUAAUUUGUUUAACUAUCAUGGUAGUUGUUAAACAUUGAGAAGGUUCCUCCAACUCAAUCCCAAGUAAGCAGUAUUAAUAACCCAACAAAUUAAUUUAGAGUGAUGAGAUCAACAUGAUAAUCCAAGAACCAGAUACUCAAGAUGUCCAUAACCGGGGACACGACUAACCAUGAUUAGUUUCUACACUCUGCAGAGGUCUGCGCACUUUUCCCCACAAGACUCGAUCUCCUCCGUUGGAUUUCUCGCACUACAUGGUGUUUGAGAAACGGAUGACCGAGACACAGUCUUUCAAAAACAUUAACUCUUUACUCUGGGUGGAUAGUUACACCUACUUAAUUGCUUUCACAAAGCACAUACCUUGAUAAAGUUUUGAAGAAGUUCAAAAUGGAUCAAGCAAAGAAAGGGUUCUUACCUGUGUUACAAGGUGUGAAGUUGAGUCAGACUCAAUGCCCGACCACUGCAGAAGAUAGAGAGAAAAUGAAAGAUGUUCCCUAUGCUUCAGCCAUAGGCUCUAUCAUGUAUGCAAUGCUGUGUACCAGACCUGAUGUGUGCCUUGCUAUUAGCUUAGCAGGGAGGCACCAAAGUAAUCCAGGAGCGGAUCACUGGACAGCGAUGAAGAGCAUCCUGAAAUACCUGAAAAGGACUAAGGAUAUGUUUCUCGCUUAUGGAGGUGACAAAGAGCUCGUCGUAAAUGGUUACGUUGAUGCAAGCUUUGACACUGAUCUGGAUGACUCUAAGUCACAAACCGGAUACGUAUUUAUAUUGAACGGUGGAGCUGUCAGUUGGUGCAGUUCUAAGCAAAGCGUCAUGGCGGGAUCUACGUGUGAAGCGGAGUACAUAGCUGCUUCGGAAGCAGCAAAUGAAGGAGUUCAUAUCCGAUCUAGGUGUCAUACCUAGUGCAUCGGGUCCAAUGAAAAUCUUUUGUGACAAUACUGGUGCAAUUGCCUUGACAAAGGAAUCCAGAUUUCACAAGAGAACCAAGCACAUCAAGAGAAGCUUCAAUUCCAUCUGUGAUCAAGUCAAGGAGGGAGACAUAGAGAUUUGCAAGAUACAUACAUAUCCGAAUGUUGCAGACCCGUUGACUAAGCCUCUCUCAUGAACAAAACAUGAUCAGCACCAAGACUCCAUGGGUGUUAGAAUCAUUACUAUGUAAUCUAGAUUAUUUACUCUAGUGCAAGUUGGAGACUGAAGGAAAUAUGCCCUAGAGGCAAUAAUAAAGUUGUUAUUUAUAUUUCCUUAUAUCAUGAUAAAUGUUUAUUAUUCAUGCUAGAAUUGUAUUAACCGAAAACUUAGUACAUAUGUGAAUACAUAGACAAACAGAGUGUCACUAGUAGGCCUCUACUUGACUAGCUCGUUGAAUCAAAGAUGGUUAAGUUUCCUGGCCAUAGACAUGAAUUGUCAUUUCAUUAACGGGAUCACAUCAUUAGAGAAUGAUGUGAUUGACUUGACCCAUUCCGUUAGCUUAGCAUUCGAUCGUUUAGUAUAUUGCUAUUGCUUUCUUCAUGACUUAUACAUGUUCCUAUGAUUAUGAGAUUAUGCAACUCCCGAAUACCGGAGGAACACUUUGUGUGCUACCAAACGUCACAACGUAACUGGGUGAUUAUAAAGGUGCUCUACAGGUGCCUCCGAUGGUAUUUGUUGAGUUGGCAUAGAUCGAGAUUAGGAUUUGUCACUCCGAUUGUCGAAGAGGUAUCUCUGGGCCCUCUCGGUAAUGCACAUCACUAUAAGCCUUGCAAGCAAUGCAACUAAUGAGUUAGUUGCAGGAUGAUGUAUUACGGAAUGAGUAAAGAGACUUGCCAGUAACGAGAUUGAACUAGGUAUUGAGAUACCGACGAUCGAAUCUCGAGCAAUUAACAUACCGAUGACAAAGGGAACAACGUAUGUUGUUGUGCGCUUUGACCGAUAAAGAUCUUCGUAGAAUAUGUAGGGCCAAUAUGAGCAUCCAGGUUCCGCUAUUGGUUAUUGACCGGAGACGAGUCUCGGUCAUGUCUACAUAGUUCUCGAACCCGUAGGGUCCGCACGCUUAACGUUCGGUGACGAUUGGUAAUAUGAUUUUAUGUGUUUUGAUGUACCAAAGGUAGUUCGGAGUCCCGGAUAUGAUCACGGACAUGACGAGGAGUCUUGAAAUGGUCGAGACAUAAAGAUCGAUAUAUGACUAUGUUUGGACUUCGGAAGGGUUCCGGGCAAGUUCGGACAAAUACCGGAGUACCUGGGGGUUACUUGAACCCCCCGGGGAGUGUAAUGGGCCUAUUGGGCCUUAGUGGAGAAGAGGAGGGGCGGCCAGGGCAGGCCGCUCGCCCCCUCCCCCUCUAGUCUGAAUUGGACAAGGAGGGGGGGGCGCCGCCCCCCUUUCCUUCCCCCUCUCUCCUCCUUCCCUCUCUCCUACUCCUACUCUUGGAAGGGUUGGAGUCCUACUCCCAGUGGGAGUAGGACUCCCCUUGGGGUGCGCCUAGGAGGGCCGGACCCUCCCCCUCCUCCACUCCUUUAUAUACGGGGGAGGGGGCACCCCAUAGACACACAGAAGUUGAUCAGUUGAUCUUUUUAGCCGUGUGCGGUGCCCCCCUCCACCAUAAUCCACCUCGGUCAUAUCGUAGCGGUGCUUAGGCGAAGCCCUGCGUCGAUAGCAUCAUCAUCACCGUCAUCACACCGUCGUGCUGACGGAACUCUCCCUCGAAGCUCUGUUGGAUCGUGAGUUCGAGGGACGUCAUCGAGCUGAACAUGUGCUGAACCCGGAGGUGCUGUGCAUUUGGUACUUGGAUCGGUCGGAUCGUGAAGACGUACGACUACAUCAACCGCGUUGUCAUAACGCUUCUGCUUUCGGUCUACGAGGGUACAUGGACAACACUCUCCCCUCUCGUUGAUAUGCAUCACCAUGAUCUUGCGUGUGCGUAGGAAAUUUUUUGAAAUUACUACGUUCCCCAACAGGAGGCUCUAUGGUUACAAUGUUUUGCAAAAAGCCAAUUUUUCCCUACAACAAAGGAAUAUAAUUUGUUUAACUAUCAUGGUAGUUGUUAAACAUUGAGAAGGUUCCUCCAACUCAAUCCCAAUUAAGCAGUAUUAAUAACCCAACAAAUUAAUUUAGAGUGAUGAGAUCAACAUGAUAAUCCAAGAACCAGAUACUCAAGAUGUCCAUAACCGGGACACGGCUAACCAUGAUUAGUUUGUACACUGUGCAGAGGUUUGCGCACUUUUCCCCACAAGACUCGAUCUCCUCCGUUGGAUUUCUCGCACUACAUGGUGUUUGAGAAACGGAUGACCGAGACACGGUCUUUUAGAAACAUUAACUCUUUACUCUGGGUGGACAGUUACACCUACUUUCCCCUACAUCUGCUAGCCCACCACUGAAAGAGGUCAUGCAACAUACUCAACUAUGCUAGAGCCCAUAAUAGCUUGUGGCUGCACACGGAAGUUUCUAUCAUGAAUAAUCUUAUGAUCCCUUUGAGCCUGGUGGAGAACCAUAGGAUGAUCACACGGGUACUCCGGGAUAUCCUAGGACAACACUGGAUUCUCCAGGUGCCCGCAACCAAUCCACCCAGAUGUGUAUUUAAGUGAACACCUUAAGUUAACCAUUAAUUAACAAUCUCACAUCUGUCAUGGAUACACUCAAACCUAAUCCAUGUCUACGAGCAUAGCAUGGCAAUAUAAGCAUAACAUAUAAGUAACUCCCAAGGGUUUGAUAAUAAAAGGGCAAUAGGUUCUACCUCAUCAUCUACUUCCCAAACCCACAUGUUAAGAGAUCAUACUAAUGCAAUGUUUGAGGGGUUGAGAUAAUGCAUAAAAACUGGGUAAUAAAGGGGUAUGAUCAAUGUGUUACUUGCCUUGCUGACGAUCCGCAAACCCUAGAGACUCGUAGUAGCACGCUUCGCACUCCGGGAAUUCUAUCGCAAACAAACAAUAGCAUACAUAAGCACUCAAGCAAUGAUGCACGGGUAAAACUCAAAUAAGAAGAUCAAAUAUGAAAUUCCAACUAAAGAGAUUCGAUCUGCAAAAAGAAUCAAUCGAAUCGGAGCUACAGAACUGAAACUACGAACAAAAGAACUUCGAAAUCAAAUCUACUUGAAACCAAAUUUUAACUUGUCAAAACCUUGUACAAGUUGAUUAAACAGAAAGAGGGGCUCAAGACGAAGAUUUUGGAAUUGGUUUCACUGGAUUUGGACAAACGGUUUAGAAACGGCGAGGGUUUGAACAUCAUGGGCUAAUCUAUGAUAAAAAUAAUCGCGGAUAGGUCCCUGGCCAAAAAUAAAAUAAAAAGAAAAGACUAACGAACGAACGUUUGCUGUCUGAACCCAAACGGCGAACAACGUUCGUUAAAACAAACGAACAGACGAACGGCCAGGGUCAGGAUCACCAGCUUUUUCGUUGCCGUUGCGGGGACGGUCUUCUUCCUCGCCAUUCGCGUACCGAGUGGCUAUCUCCAUCAUUCUGCUCAUGGUCAAGGUCCCAGACCGAACAAACUUCAAGAUGAGUUCUCUGUAUCUGACACCAGCCUUGAAAGCACAAACUGCCUGAUGCUCGGUGACAUUCUCAACCACAUGGUGAAGUGUGGUCCAGCAUUGUAUGUAAUCUCUCAGAGUUUCAUUCGGCUUCUGAACGCAGACGCAGUGUUGUAAUUCAGUCAACCCGGUGGGAUGCUUGCACGUGCCUUCAAAUGUUUUGAUGAACACUCGAGCUAGGUAUUCCCAGCAGUAUAUGCUAGCAGGAGCCAACUGGUUCAACCACGCCCGGGCCGACCCUUCUAGCAUCAAGGGCAAAUGUUUUUCAUGGCGACAUAAUCAUUGCCUCCGCCAAUCUGCACUGCCACUCGGUAAUCUUCCAACCACGUCUCUGGCUUCGACUCGCCAGUGAACCUGUUAACUCCCAUGGCUAACCUGAAGUUGGGUGGUAUCUCUGCGGCCCAUAUGGCCCUGCUGAAACACUCAAGCCCAGAGAUGUACACGCCACUUCCACUCGGACGAUCUCUGUCCAAGCUCUCUUGGUGAGCUCUGCCACUAUCGACUAGAUUAUGCAAGAGGAGUGACCUCGCGUUGAACCCUGGAUCUCGGGGAUCGACUGGUUCUCUCCGCUCAUCGUCGUAUGGGUGCAUGGCAUCGUACCGCCGGGGCGCGUACGAAUCACCCCUCGGAGGGGGCGUCGUCACGGUGAUGUUGAGGAGCAAACUGACCGUGGCCUUGAUCCAGGUACUGAUCCUGGUGGUAACCGCGAUCUUCACGCUGCGGAGGCGAUCUCGGGUUGUGGGCUGACUGAACUGUGUCUGCUCUGACAGACCUGCUAUGAAUUCUGUCGUGCGAAUGGGAAACGACCGAAUUCUAUUCCCCAGCCGCUGUGAGUAGCGUUCGGAUCUACCGAAGACCUUCUCCAGCUUCGAAUCGGGACGGCUGGAUGGAAUCUGCAAUCCGUGCAGCUGCUGCUAAGUUCUGAAUUGGAGUGUGGAGUACCUGAUACUCAUUUUGCGAUCCACUCGGGAACAGUUGUCGUUGCCAUCGAUUGGAGCUUGAGGGUUGCCUGCGAGAGCGGUCGUCGAGUGAUUUCUGGAGCACCUCGAGAUGCGUGCGUUCAUCCAAAGUGGCUAUGCGCACCGCUUCCAAAGCCUGGGCCUCGGUGGUCGCGUCGAUGAUGGGAGUCCGAAGGACUCGCUCAUUCAUGUGCAGUAGUUCUUCUCUCUGUUGAGUGGUGAGGGAUUGCGGGUAAUACUCGUCGUUGGUAUGUGACGGACCAUUGCCCCCAGCCACAUCGCGGGAAUACCCUGGCAGGCUAUGCUGAGAGCCGACCAUAAGUACUUUCGCCGCCGGGUCGCUGCUCUCGCGCUCGGAAGGAACAUCUGAGUGAUCUGACAACGGAUCGAUCAAAUUGUAGAGGGAUUCGUCGGGCUCGGUUGUCGUGAUCUGCUGAGCGGAUGACUGACGAGCCAACGCAUGCCUAACCCACCGCUCGAGCCGAGAGCGACCGGAUCGCUUGCGACGGCGAGCAGCGGGAAGGGAAAACGCCGUCAGGGCCGACUGAUACUGAGUCAACGGUUGCCGGAGGAGGACGCCACAGGAGCCUGCGCGGAAGUGCGCCGCCCCGCAAAUAGGGAGCGCCUCGACGUCCAAAGGGGCUUCUUGGAGCCACGCCGAAUCAUCGGCGACGAAGCUGAGAGCGCCGAGACGGAUCUCGCGACCCAGGACAGUCCGCCGCCAGAAACCAUGGUGAAGAUGUUGAAAAACGCAACCACGCUGGAAGUCGCCUAGACACCUGCCCCAAGGUGGGCGCCAACUGUCGUGGGAACAGAUCUGACAAUAGAGUAUAGGGGUACGUAUAGGAGGGCAGAGUCUAGCUACGGUAUGGUUGUACACUCGGAUUUACGAGUUCAUGCCCCUCUCGGAAGGAGGUAAAGACCCUACGUCUCGGUGCUGCGGGAGCCUAUUUAUCUGGAGUGUUGUGGUACAAGAGGUGCGAACUCUUGUGUAAGGGUGGAGGGGUGGCUUAUAUAGAGUCCGCUGGCCCCUCAUGAAUGCCCCGUUACUCAAGGGUUCAAUGGAGAGGUUAAAGGAUGUGGGCGUUACAGGUAACGCCAGCGUUAGAUGUUCUUUAUGGUGGUGAACUGAUCGUCUGACUGUUUCUGUCUCAGGGUGACUCUCGGUCUUCUUCCGCCGAGUGACGCUUGGUACUCCGAGUGGGUAGAGAUGGUCGAGUGAUGGUGAGGCUUUCGAGUGGAUCCUUCGUCCGAGUGACUUGUAGGCUGCAGGCAUUCCACUCGGUGACUCCUUCCUAACUUUGUAGGCCUUGAAUUCUUGUAUGUGGUGUCCUUGGGUAGGGUAUGUAGGUCAGGCCUAGGACCCUACCCCAGAUACAUGUCAUCGUCGGGGGGGGAGGGGGAAGAGAAAAGGGGGUUGUGUCCCCGACGGGUGGGCCAGGGGAGGACAAGGGCACGCGUCCUGCCGGUCCGCGCGUUGUCUAUUUUGACGCAAACUCGGCCCAAAUUUGAGCUGGGAAUUUGUUGAAAGCAGACAAAAAGUAGACGUUUGUCUGUUUGCUCCUGCGCGUUGUGCCGCGAUUUGUAUCCGUUUAUCUCAAAUGGGCACGGCCGGACCAUAUGGGGUGGGGCCUUAACCUCAAUCUCACGUAGGUGUGGCCUACACCCUCAUUCCUUCGUUGUCCGUUCCUCUAGCGUGUUGACACCUGGCAAGCACACCUCAAAACACAGAAACCGUCCAAUACUACUAUUCCCGACCUUGCUGGCACCGACCAUCCGUGGACGGUGGGUUCUCUGUCCCACACACCACCACCCAUCCCAUCCGAUCAUCUCCACCACAAUCCCUGAAUCUGCAACCGGUUACUACCACAUCCCUGAAUUUAGCAAGCGUUUGGUACUCGGCAAAAUAGGAUAGGGCAGAUAAGCACACCACUUAUGGCCUCUCCAGAAUCCAGGCCAUGCCAUCAACGCCCAAGAAGGUGUCCUCUCCAAAACAAGCAACUAGUAGUAACGCCAUGCCCAUGCCCAGCUCUCCUUUCCAUCCUUGGCGCUGCCUGCCUCUUCCUUCUUCAGUACAUUCCAUAUGCGGAGGACCGGCCGGCACCCCCACACCGACUGGACCGAUCCGUUCGCCGCGAGUCGCCUCGCUGCCACGUUACCCUUCCUCUGCUGACAGCAUGAACGAAGGUGGUUGAAGGGAAAAGGCACGUCUUGAGAUUUCAUUAUUUCUCGGUUGCGCCGAGGCGAUGCCAAGUGCACGUACCGGGAUCACGCCCUGGCCCAUCGUUGAACCGGGAACCCGGGAUUAUUAUUCCGCGUCCGUUUGCGGUCCCUGGCUGGCUCCUUCCUUUUUAAACCCCCCUCCGCUCUCUCACUCGACAGUGUCUGUAGCAUCGAUCUCGACCUAAUCCUUAACUGCCCUCCCAACACAAAACUCCUCUUCCUCCCCUGUCCGUCUGACACCCCCUUCUUCCUCUUCUUCCUCCCUGCCUUCAUCGACGGUUUCGUCCUUGGUUUCCCCGAUUCAUUCCCUCCUGCUGUUCCUGACGCCCAAGUUGACAACCGCUGCUGCUUCAAGUACAGAAGAGAGGCGUCGAUCCUGAUUUACCUGCGAGUGGAUUCUUGGUUGGAUUCUGCCUUGGUCGCCGUGGAUCGGCCAUGUUCGUCAAGAAGCUCGUGGAGAAGGCCUCCAAGAAGGUAUAUAACCUCUCUCUCUCGCUCGCUCGCUCGAUCCAAUCCGGUCCAAUGCUCUCUGCUGCCAUUUUACUACCACUCCGAUUUAUCAGCUUCCUUGUUCUUGGUCGAUUCUGUGUAGUAGGGAGUAGAGAUUAAGACAAUUUUGCUAGAACAUGUAGAUGAGAUUCGACGGUGGGCAAUCCUAGAAUGGUCUCUUUUCUUUUCCUGAUUGGGGAGUAGUUGUUGGUGUCACUCCUCCCCUUCUCCACCGACCGAAUUCGCACGUAAUCCUUCCUGCGGAAAAUGUCACUUUCUGCUCAUUUCCUUAUUUUCGCCGUGGGAGCAAGAAAAGAAUGUUGCCUCGUGGACGCCGUCGCCCAAUGUCGCCCUGCCUCGUCAGAGACGGAGUGUCGCGCUCGCGUCCUUGUUUCGAUCCGAGCUCCGUUCAAAUUUGAAACACCCACACCCACAAAUGCCAUGCACUCAUCUACCAUUCGGAAAUUUAAGGCGGCUCUGGAAGUCCAUGUGACCUCAUUAAUGUCGUCCAAGCAAAGGACGCAUUGUUUAGUCGCUGCGGAAAUGAUUCUACCCAGUCUCAGUGGCGUGGCACAGCUAGUAGUACAGAGGUAAAAUAAGGCGAUCGAGACGGAUAAGAAAUUUUGAUAGAUUGACCAAGUUCGACGCAUAGAUUGGAUGGAUUACAAUAUGUGGGAGUUCAAGAUAAAAUAUCCUAUAGUAGGCCGGUUCUUCGAGAUCAGCGAGACAACGAGAUUCGCUUAUUCUUAUAUACGUAGUGUACUAGUACGUAUAUGAUUGGGUUCACCGUAGGCAAUGCAUGCCGGCUUUGGCCUGCAGUCACCGACGACUGUUCUACAGCGGGCGUUGUUCAGUCGCGGCUGUCGAUUUCAGUAUCUGGCUUUGGCCACUCUUUCAUAUCGUGCCGUUUCCAAAAUAUGAUCUGCGUCAUAAGCCUUGACUCUCUGCAGAAUUACAGUAGUAGGCAUGUAGGGUUCAUUUUUGACAGGCCACUCUUGCUAAAGACAGGGACAUGAUGGUGCGUGAUUUUCCCUUUUUUAAGGGGAAAAAAAGUAUUAGUAACUUCAUAGUAGGGCAACUGAGGAACGUGCAACAAAGUGGAUAAACAAAAUGAUCCUCUAGUAGGCCAUGCACGGACAGCAACGCGCUAGUACAAACUUGAGAUUUGUGAUGAUUCACUCUCGAAAAAGAUUUUUGAUGAUCUUAAAAAACUGGGAAUUGUGAAAUGCUUCAGAUUAAGUUAGGACAUGAAUCUUAUUUUGAAAUUGCACUAGCCUGACGCGUGUGCCAAUCCGUUGGCAUCAUGAUUCUUUGGCGCUAAUUAGAUCACGCCACCUGGCCGUUUAUUAGAUCGUGCAAAAGUUAAGAUGAUGAUGCUGUUACGUGCUCAUUUCGAUGUGACUGUGCCAUGUGCUUGGCCGGCUGAGCUCAUGGGCCGGGGGAUCAGGACACCCUGACACGUAGUAGAUGGACUUACAUCAAGUAGGAGCCAGGACAUAUCUCGUCCUUUUCCUUCGUUUAUUAUUUUUCUCAGAGAUAAACAUUUCAAGUUUGAAAGUGAUAUUUUAGGGUGCAAUAAGGACAAAAUAGGGUGAGAAAAUGAAAUAUUUGAACAAAAAUUCAGCUCCCGGCGAGGAUCGAACUCGCGGCCUUUCGCUUACGAAGCGAACGCAAUACCACUAUGCUACGGAAGCAGCUGCGUCCCAUUUUUCGUAUGCUUCUAAUCCUUGUUUUACUUCCUCGCAGCAACACAGCGGCGGCAUCGGCGGGCUGCGCGCCGAGGACGUGAGCCCGCGGCUGGCCUUCCACUACGGCGUCCCCGCCGACGCCGCCCUCCUCGCCUACGACCCCCUCCUCCACGUCCUCGCCGUCGCCACCAGGUAACCCACCGACACCGACAGCUCCCAAACCCCACCCGCUUGCUUGCUGCUUCCAUUCCGAGUUCCGACGGACGCGCCGCCCACCCACCUCUCCCCGCCGUCGCUGACGCCCUCUGCUGCGUCGCGCGCCUGCAGGAAUGGGCAGAUCAAGCUGCUCGGCCGCGACAACACGCAGGCGCUGCUCCAGUCCCCCUCCCCCAUCCCCUCCAAGUUCAUGCAGGUACCAGUCGCCACCCGCUUCCAAUCCCGUUGCUUUCCGUGUCCAGUGCUUCAUUGCUGAACCUGGAUCGAUGUGACUGAAUUCGACGCUCACUUUCAGUUCGCCGAUGGCCAAGGGGUUCUCCUGAGCGUGAACACUCAGAACCAGAUCGAGGCACGUCUAUUCCUCCCACGCAUCAUCUUGGUCCAUUCACUAAAUGUGCUCUUCUUUCUCCAUGCGUUGUUGAUUCGGAAAAGGCAUUGUUUGCAGGUCUGGGACAUCGACACGAAGAGGCUGUGUUAUCUGCAUCCCUUUGAGAAGCAAAUAACCGCGUUUACAGUGCUGCAGAAGAGUUUCUACAUGUAAGUGAUGGUUACUGAAUGUACUAGUGCUACGGCAUGGAUCUUGAUGGGUUAAAUGUGCUAACGAGAAUUCUGGGUUGCGCAGAUAUGCAGGAGAUAGUUUUGGAAAUGUGUCCUUGUUCAAGCUUGACUUGGGUCAGCGGUGUCUAGUUGACCUGCCAUAUUGCAUUCCUUUUGCUGAGUCCUAUGGUAUGCUGUCUUUUUUUUUCUUUCCUUGAACACGCAUCAAAAUGCGUGUCACUUUGUAUUAGGGAAAAAGCACCAAGACAAAGGCCAAAACGCCAGAACAGAACGAAACUAUCGGAAAAGAACUAGAAUCGUAACGAACCAAAAAAGCAGCAAACCAAAUCAGGAAAGAUAAGCCGUCCCUAGAAUAUCAAUGUAUAUGUUGCAUACUCACUUUUCUUAAGGCUAGCUGCAUACCCAACUUUGUUUAUUCUUCUUCAAAAAAGUUUAUUCAGUUUGCAGUUAUAUGUAAAAUAUCGUCCCUAUUCAGAUAUUUUGUAAAUAUUCAGAAAGAAACUUCACAACAGCAGUACUGAUGCCAAUCAAUAAGAGCCAUUGUAAUUGGAAAAUUAAAUUCAAAUUUUGACUCACUUUGAUCUGUUAUUGAAGGUUCCACGGCAAAUGGUGGUAAUGGGGUAGAUGUCGCAUUUGUAUCGCCGCAGCCUUUGGCUGAAUCUAACAGGUGGGUCUCUUCUCAUUACCAUGGUUUGGCACGAAUAAUUGCAGCUUUUGAGCCAUGUCAUAUUCGUGUUGAUCUUCCAUAUAAUUCAUAGCCCUCCGUAAGCAUAGUGAAAUGUCUGAUUAAGUCGCACUCUUCCUCUCAGGUUGCUCAUUAUAUUCAGAGAUGGUGUCAUGACCUUAUGGGAUAUUAAGGCAAGCAGAGUGGUAUUCGUAUCCGGUAGAACUACGCAACAACAAUCGCACCAGGAGGAGAAAAAUGUGACAUCGUCAUGCUGGGCUUGUUCCAAGGGAAGCAAAGUUGCUAUUGGAUAUGACAGUGGUGAUAUCUACCUUUGGGCUAUUCCUGAUAUUUUCAGUGCAGAAAAUUCCUCAUCUUCGAGUAAUCCGAAUCUACCACUUCAGAGGCUUAACCUUGGAUACAAGCUAGACAAGGUGCCAAUAAUCUCUUUGAGAUGGGUUCCUUCUGAUGGAAAGUCUGGACGCUUGUAUAUUAAUGGAUUCAGCGAACAUGCAUACCUAUAUCAGGUAGAAACACUGAAAUAUUUUCACAGUGGUUUUUAUGAUGUUCCUGAUUUUCUGCCAUACUUUUCAAGUGCAUGCUUUCCAUAUGGAUAUUGUUAUCCCAAAUGACAUUUUAGUUAUUUCACAUCAUAUCUUAGCAAACUUUAGCUGAUUGCAAAUAAUUGGAGCAGUAAAUUUCAUCAUAUCUGUCUGCCAGGACUAUCACUAAAUAACUAUCAGGUUGUCAGAUACCGAUUUUCUCUGGCCUCUGGCCCUUUUGAAUACGAAAUUCAGGUUGUAUGAUUUUGCUUCUCAGUAUUACAUUUUCUAGGGUUUUAAGAAGCGUAUCGAUUGGUAACAGACCGAAUUAGACUGGAUGAUCUACUGGUUUUGGGACUGACUUGAACAAAUAAAAAAUUAUGGGUACUCAAAGUAAAUGCUCACCCAAAGGGCAACGGAUUGGGUGUCAUUUUUCCAGCAACCAGACAAAAGAUCCAUGUCCAAAGCAUUAUUUGAACUUGGAACGGUCGAUUUCUUUCUGAAGAAUAUAGUGCUGGUUCACGUGGAUAAGAUGUCUUGAUAUUUUGUUUAGUGAGAAAUGCAUCUUCGUUCAAUCUUUCAUUUGUGUUUUCUGGACACAGGUCCUGAUUCUGAAUGAAGAGAGUGAAUCUCGAAUAGUAAAGAUGGUAUUGCCCAUCACAGAAGCUUGUCAAGGAAUGGAGUUUGUUACAGGCCUCAGUGACCCAAAUAAGCAAAGACAGACUGUUCUUGUUCUCUUGUUGAAAUCUGGUCAAAUCUGUUUAUACGAUGAUUCAGAAAUUGAGCGCUACCUUCUUCAAUCUCAGUCUAGAUCACCACCAACACUUCCAAGCCACUCAUUUGUGAAACAACCGUAUGGUGAUUCGGGCAUCAACGUUGCAAAGUUCUACACAAGUGACCGUACAGCAACAGCUAACGAGGCAUGUAUAGAUUUGUAAAUUAUACCUGCAAACAACUGUGAACUCUUUGACCAGACAGCUUCAUCUUUUUAAUGGACAGGAUUAUUUUUCAACAUUGGCCUCCAAAUAUCCAUGGCUGCUUUCAAUGAAGGAUAAAGGUCAGAUAUCCGCAAGUCUUAGCAACAUCCAUAAAACCAGGAAUCUUUAUAUAACUGGACAUAUGGAUGGAACCAUAAGCUUUUGGGAUGCAUCAUGUCCUCUUCUGCUGCAGAUUUUUAUGAUAAAGCAGCAGGUAGCUUCAAAUCCCAACUGUUUUGCCAAGUGUUAUACAAUUAUGAAUUCUUUACGAACUGCCGUGUUCAACUUCAUUCUAAUAACCAUCUAAUAACUUCACAGCAUGAAGACAAUACAUCAAGUCGAGCCCGUAUUACUUCAUUGCAGUUUGAUAUGUCCUCCAGCAUUCUUAUAUCUGGGGAUCAGGGUGGAACAGUAAGCUACUCCACGGCUACCAGGUGGUUUCUAGUUUAUGUGUUAAAUACACUUCCAGUGCAUUGAAAUUUAUUUCUUCUUUCCAGGUCCGCGUAAUCACAUUCAAAAAGGACUCUAGCGACAAUAUAUUAUCCAUUUUACAAGGUACUAACUUGCUCAGGGAUUGUGCUUCCAUCUACCUAUAUAGUAACUUGGUUGUUGAUUCUAUGAAAGAGUUUGCACUAGAAUAAUUUCAAUAAUAUUACUGCAAACUUUGCAAUUUACCAGUUAAAUUUUAGCACAUUCGGUGAUUUUUUGGCGCAUUAAACUAAUGGAUGGUUAGUAUACAUUCAUCACGUUUGGAUUAUCCGAGUAUAAGAUCACCUCCUUUCAGUAAAUAAGCAUGAGUUUGCGGCUUGUCUCGCCGAGUUCUAAACUAUCAUAAUAAGGUUGUUUAUAGGGUUUCCAUAGGCGAACCUUCAAUUAAAAGUAAGAGAUGAUGCGGAGUUUGCUGCAUUAAUUUCAAAAGAAAGGACAGGCGUAUAAUGUGGAGUUUCUCAAGAGUUAUAUAUGUUUGGUUGAUUUUGUUGUCCACAAGUAGAAACAAUUUAUAUAUUUUAUAUAGGAGGUAUAAGCUUAAUAAAUGGCUGUCAGCAGUUCAGUAGCGCCUGAUCUUAUCAUCUAGUUGAUGUAUCUUUUUAAUAAUGUUUUUAUAUCAAAGUCUAUGGAAUUUCUCUAUGUUAGUUAACCAGAAUUUUUGUGACUCGUUAGGAAAGCAAGGGGAUAACUACGAUGCAAGAAGUAUAAAGCUCAAGGGAGCUGUAACCUCAACUUCUAUGAUCUCUAACUCGAAGCAUUUUGCUGUUGGGACAGAAAAAGGAAUUGUAAGAAAUUUGUCCAUUGUGCAAAAUGUUCUCAAUUUUCUGAACUAUUAGGCUCAAAGCACCGUUAAUCAACACAAUAAAAGCAUAGUAUCACAGUUUCAAAAUAGUAGCACUAAAAUUUUACCACUGUCUACAAUAGUCAAAUUACAGACUCAAAGCUACUAAAUAUCAUAUGUGUUUGAUAUGCGAUCUCACAGAAAUUUUUUAAGUUAAAUGGUUAAUAUUACUCACAGUUCAACAAGUUUUAGUAUCUUGUUAAGCAAAAUAGUGGUUACUUCUUCGAAGACUUUGCAGUUCGCCAUUCUUGAUAUGAAGUGACUCAUGUCACGUAUGUUAUUUAUUGUGUUGACGAUUAUUUUAAAGAGAUGGAACUAUCACACAAUCAUUUAUCUCAUGAAAGCAGUUCGUUAAAUAUGGUUAUUCAACUCAAAAUUUGAGCUCAUUAUUCAACCAAGAAAGUGACAUGUCUGGAAAAACAUGUUUCAGGUAUCAGUUAUCAAAGUAGAUGAUGCUACUAUAUUGUAUCAAAAACAGCUUGAGUGUCGUGUCUCUGGUGGAAUUGCCUCCUUGCAAUUUGAACUCUACAGCCACAAUGGGUACGAUAAGGAUCUUCUGAUAGUAGGAAUGGAAGAUUCUUCUAUUUGUAUUCUCGAGGAAGAAACUGGAAAACUUUUGAAUGCCAACCCAGUUCAGACAAACAGACCCACAAGAGCCCUUCUGUUGCAGACAUUGGGUGAGCUAUAUGAUCUUGCAUAAUAAUCCUUUUUUUUGUAUAUCUACCCACCAACCCCAUUCUCAAGGUACUAUUACCGCACUAUUAUGCCAUUCUAAAGCCACAUAAUGCCAUCAUCCAGAGUUAUCUCCAAACGAAGCACCAGGAUCUGAUAACCAUGAUACAGCAUUGAGGGAAUCUUUGCUGUUGCUUUGCACGGAAGAUGCAAUCCGCUUAUUUUCCUUGAGCCAUGCGAUUCAGGUAUUUGUAUUUCCAGUUAUCUCAGAAGUUCUGUUUUUAUGUGAGUGUUGUUGUUCAUAUGGAGCUUUCCUUUGUGCAGGGAAUGAAGAAGAUAACUAAUAAGAAAAAGUUAAACGGUAGCUGUUGUUUUGUAUCUGUUAUCCAUGGUGCUUCUUCUGAAAUUGGAAUUGUACUAGUCUUCUCCAACGGAAAAGUAGAAACAAGGUGAGAUAACAGCUGAGUUGAAAACUUUGCAUGAGGGGUCGAGGGCAUUCAAAUGAAGUCGAUGAAUUCUAGUGUAUUUAUGAAACUGCAGGUCCCUCCCAGAUUUAUCCUUGCUGAAGGAAGCCUCUUUACGAGGUUUUGUACAUUCAAAAAACUUGAAUUCCUCUAGUUCCAUAACAUGUUCAUCUGAUGGAGAAAUCAUCUUGGUAUGGAUUGCACUAUCACUUUACUUUUUGAGACAUCUUCUGUAGUAACUUCAGUAUAGCUCUAUUCAUGAUUUUAAAAGUAGCUUUUACUUAUAAAUAGUUUCUUUGAUUAUACAGAUUAAGGGAGAGGAGACAUAUUUUUUCUCUACUCUCUGUCAAGAUGACAUCUACAGGUAUGGUAGCAUGGUUAGUUUAUAACUUUGGUAAUGAUGAAUAGUUGACCUUGUUUACCAAUAAUGGAGCUUUGCAAUUUAGUGCACUACCAGAGACCCAUUGAGCCAUUCUAGAGCCCCUAUUAUGAUCGUCAAAUAGCGGGCACAAUGAUUUCAUUAUUUAUUUCGAGCUGAACUUACAAUUUUUAACAUAGUUAUCUAAGCGUGCGGUUUGUACGCAGGCAUGUAGACAAUAUUAAUAUGGUAUACAGAAAAGACCACCCUCUCAGGGAAGAAUCUUCCUAUGUGGUUAAGUCUCCCAAAGAAAAGAAAAAGGUAACUGAUUAAUCUUAUGGUCAGUUGAGGCAUCUGUGUAUCUUUCUUUCUGAUAAUGGAAGAUCUCCAGGGCUUAUUUGGGAUGAUUAUGAAAGACACUAAAGGGAGCAAGGCAAACGAGAGUGAUGCAAAUGGCAAUGGACAAUUCAUCGCAACAACAUCUGAAGAACUGGCCUCGAUAUUUUCAUCAGCGAACUUCACUCCACCAUCUGCGAGGAGGAGCAGUUCACUGAAAGAUGAUGAAAAUAUUGAGCUAGACAUAGGUAUACGAUGUUCAGUUGUUCACAGUUCUAAAAGGCCCUAGGUGCCUUCUCCCGCCUAGCCCACCUAGGCGCUAGCCCCACUACCAUAUCGUCUGCCUGGCACCUAUCACUUUUUAGAACACCUUAUUACAAUAAUUUUUAGACGAAUCAUUACUUUGUCUGGGUAUACUUACUCUAAUAUGUUUCUUUCUGAAGAUGAUAUCGACAUUGAAGACAACACACAAAAGCAGAAAGGACCGCACUUCGCAGGUCUAAGCAAACAGAAAUUCAGCAAGGGACUCCAGGCUCUUAGAGGUCAGAAAAGUAUUAUACUAAGAUGUUUGUAAUUAACUUUUCAAUCCAAGGUGCGGCGUUUCAAAAUUAGCACUCUAGUUCAACUAUUUUAGUGUGAUAUGUUGUUCAAAUGUUUAAUAUGCAGGAAAACUGAAGCCCAGAACAGAAGAAAAGGUGAAUACAGAAAAUAAGAAGCCUGAAGAUGAACCAUCAGUUAGACAAGUUGACCAGAUAAAGAUGAAGUAUGGAUAUGCAACAAGUGAUGUGAGUGCAUAGAAGCGCCAGUAUAUCAUUGAAAUUAUGACCUGCACAUUUAUGUCCAUAGAAAGGCUGAUCUACUACGAUUGAUGACCAUCUGCAUGGAAUCGUAUUAGCAAUGCAUAGAAUAGUCACAACAUAAUAGGUUAUUUCCCCUCAAGGGAAGAAAUGUGACUAGUUGAUGCAUUCACUUACCUUUCCUUCAUUGUUGAUCUGAACAGGACUCAACCAGUGUUCCAAAAAUGAUUGGAAACAAGCUGCAAGAGAACAUAAAAAAAUUGGAGGUAAACAUCAUUUUGCUUCCCUACUGAUAGUAUUAUGCCUAUUUCUAUUACCAUGUUGCUCUUUGUACGGGACCUACCGCGUAAUUCAGUUUCCUAACAAAAAAAUUCUCUCAUUCCCAAUUUCCCUAUGUUUUGCAAAACUUUCCAAUUUCCAUAUGAAUGUCAGGGAAGACAACUAUAAAGAACAUUCUGCACAAACCUGAAAGGGCGUUAACAUUUACAAAUGUGCUUCCUGCAGGGCAUUAAUCUUCGGUCCGCAGACAUGGCUCAUGGCGCUCAAUCCUUCUCGUCGAUGGCGAAAGAGCUGCUCCGAACCACGAAAAACGAGAAGAGCUCAUCAUAGCGAAGACAGCUACAUGCAGUUGCUUUUCGUCUAGUUGUAAAGCUCUCUUUUUUAUGUUUGUUUGAGAUACCCAACUGCACUUGCCAUGGGGUCAGCUGUAGAUAGUCUUCUUCACUUCUCUUUACACUCGCUAAGGUUCUUGACAGGUUACCGCCAUGUUCAAGUUCACCUCACGUGUGUGGAACAUUAUGUAGUGCCACCUUAAAAUGAUUUUGUUGUAGAUAGCAAACAGAGGGUACCUUAUACCACCAAUUGUUUCACUGCACAAAUUUGGAUUGUAGAAUACAUGGGCAAACUUAACGUGUUUGAAUCUGAUGAAGUAAUUUCUAUUAUUUCUGAUUUUCGUUGUACUGCCAUUAACAGAACGGAAAUUUUCUCGCAAAAAAAAAAACUGCAUUAUGCUAACACAAGUCACACAACCACCAGCGUCAAGCCAGCAACUAGCAUCGAUUUUUACAUCCUGUCGAAAUAAAAUAAAAUUACUUCUGAUGUCCUGACUGCAAAAUGUUAGAACACAGCCAUUGGUCAACUACAGAGGAGAAAUCAAUUGGGCACAACCUUAAUAAAUAUUAAAAAAUUGCUGCACAAAACUCGAGAGCAAGUGCAGCAGGAAAAUGAGAAGCAAUAAGAAAGUGAAAGGCGAACACAAGACAUAAAGCAAUUAAUAGCAAGCCAACAGCAGGCUAGUCAUCAGAUCAGUAGAUAAAAGCAAGCAUAAUAACUGUUUCCACAUGCUGUGGAGGUCCACGAAAGAAAAGCAGUAAGGGUUUUAAGCUUUUCUUCGCUACUAGUCAAACAGAGACAUCUCCAGCAUGCCACAGCCCAGGAGCACGCAUCUAAACAUUCUCCUUACAUAACAUUACAUAAUCCGGACAUCGACAUGGCAAGCUAAACCCUAAGCAGCAAACGCUGAUUUGCACCGCUGCUGUUCCCUCAUCUACUAUUUAC
rnacentral:lncRNA from 1 species